rnacentral:lncRNA from 1 species
GUCAAAAUUCAUUCGUCCAACAGUAAACUGAGAUGCAAAUUGAGUGAUAUUGCAUGGUUUGGUCCAGUAUGAAUGGCCUGGUACUGGUACGAUUCUUUUUGCUUUCGACAGCUCUGUUAUAGCUCUCUUUUAUGUUUUUCUCAUUCUUUCUCUCUCAUUUACUCUCUCUUUCUCUCGCCCUCAUUCACCACCUCCAUACAGCAUCACUGCUAUCUCCUCCGCCAUGCCCAUAUUGCACCGCCUCCUUAUCUGUGUCACAACUCCCCUCAUACCACUAUGCGUCAUCAUCUUCCUGCACCUCCUCUUCCUUGUCCUCCUCCGUUAAUCCUUCUCUCCUCUCUUCCUGUCUGGUUUGGGUAUACAGAAGUGUUGGUAUGUCAAUAUGUACCAGCCACCAAUCGGCAUUGGACUGAAUGUUCAACCUUUUAUUGUCCCCUUCCCACCACAAAAAUAGUAAGCAAGCGAUAUUAUGCUUCUCAAAAAUGAUACAUGGUCUAUCAGAGUAUACCUGAAUCAAAAGGUAAACUAGUAUGAUAACAUUAACAAUCAUUUAUUCAGCAACCCAAACGACAGCGCAACAGUGGAAAUAUUGACAUGCCUCAUGUAACAUAUGUAGUUGUCAUCAAGUUUGCUGAUUUCCAGGUAGCAGCAAGAAUAAAAUUACACAAGGAACAUAAUUAGCCUACCAAUAUUUAUCGACAGUAAGAACCAGAUAGCAAUUAUAUCAUGCACAAAAUCAUCAAAUGACAAUUAUUGAUAGGUUUACAGAUAACAGAGGAUAGGUCACCUGAAAUUUAUCGGAGACCAUGUGUCGAAGUCGUUGGUAAUAAACAGGCCCAAUAAAGAUCUCACAAGUCAACUCUGUACCAUAAACUCCACUGUACAGGACCUCUACUCCAUGAUAGUUAAAACCAUAAGAAGUCAGCAUUGGACCUAAUUCAUCAACCACAGAGCUUGAUUUGGAUGGUUUAUCCUCAUCUGCAUUACAGACUGAUCUAGAAAAAGGGGUUGCAUCAACAAAUUUUCCAUGCAGACUUCCUCCCUGCAAAGUUACCCACAGAAAGAAAAUGCAGCAACACCAAGGAUAGGAUAAAACACAGUGGAAAAGCUAACCAUGCAAAAUAGCAAUUAAAAUUUACAUCAUCCAUCAUGAUGAAGAUGGAAAGCAUAGUUUCUUAAAAGCUUGACUUUGAAACUUUCCUGAGAGGAUAAAAAAAUGAAAACAUGUAGUCCACCAAAAUGAAUGUAGUGGAUGCAAUAUGAACUCUUAAACUAUACAAAAGUAAUAAAUACAGACCAAAAAGACAUGUCCAAUACUAAUGCCAAAAUAUAUAGGUCUACUACAGAAAUAUACAGUCCAUCUAAUCCCAUGCUGUCCCAUGAAAAACAGUAUACAACUUCAAUGUACUGUUGUUGUACAUCUCACUUCAAGUUAACAAUAUAGUGCAUUGUGAAAAUGCAUUAACAGUAUUAUAAAUUUAACAAUUGUUACAUUAUGAUGGACUAAAUAGAUAUUUUCAUUAUCCAAAGGGUUAAACUCGCACAACAUCUAAUGAACUAAAAUGGUAGAACUAUCAUACAGGUGGGGCAUCAUGUCAUAUUGAAAGAGAUUAAAAAGUCAUUCCACUGCAAUCAAGUACAAGAAUAAGCAAUGAUCAAAAUGACAAUACCUUGGCUGCAAUAGAUUCCAAAAGCAUUCCAAUAGUCAUUCGUGAAGGAAAUGCAUGAGGAUUAAUGAUUAGAUCCGGUCGCAUCCCGGUAACCGCAGAAAAUGGCAUGUCAACAUCAGGCCACAUCUGAGAGCAGACACCUUUUUGCCCAUGUCGGCUGCUAAACUUGUCACCAAUAAUAGGAUAUCUGGUGCGCCGGGUACGAAUGUUAACCUGGAAAACAAAUAAUUAUACUGCACUCUAAGCUGCUGUUGCUCACCAUUUGAUGUGUAAGAGCAGUGAUUUCGAUGUCCAAAAUAUACUAAUGGCAUGCAGUCAAAUACCUUGGAAACUGUAAUCAUUCAUAUUUCAUGAAAGCAGAAAGAAGCAUUACAUUGUGCCCAGAACCAAUAACAAAAGUGACAGUUUGUAUCUAAUGGAGCAACAGGAUAUCAAUAUAGGUUUGUUUUAUUUUAAUUUGUUUCUAUUAUUUUUGUUUGUUUAUUCAUCUGCCAAUUUUACAGCUAAUAUUUCUCAUUGUUUCGACUUAGAAACAGAUUGGUGAGUAAUAUAAUGAACACAGUGAUCUUUUGACUAUUGAAAUGCAGAAAUAUCUGAUGUUGUCAUAAGUGAAUAUCUUUCACAUUUAUUAUUAUAUAAGUGAAUUAUAAAUAGUGCUAAUUACAAGAGUCAUGAAGGAUAUGAAAUGUAGCCAUCAUAACAGUUGAUGUUGUUAUAAGUGAAUAUCUUUCACAUUUAUUAUUAUAUACUGCUAAUUACAAGAGUCAUAGAGGAGAUACUAAUCACAACCCAGGAUAGCUUUUAGACAAGAAAGAUACUUACAGGAGAAGAGUCUCCUUUUUAGGAAAAUAAACCAAGGGAAAAUCUGCUUUAAUAUACCUUGAUUAUUCUUCAUGGUCUGCCUACUUAAGCAAAAUUCUCAUAGACAUGUAUAUUUCAUUUUGAAACAGAUAUUGUUAUUGACAAUAAAGCAAUCAAACUCUCUUGCUGUGUGUCUGAAAGAGAGGAACAUUGAUACAUGGUUUAUUUUAGUUAAUGACAUCCCAAUUUAAAUUCUUUGUCUGUAUCAUUUCGACUUCCUACUGAUAUAGUGAUAAGGUCUGUUUUAAGUGCUUAUGAUAACUGAUAACAAGUUACAUAUGGUUACUGAAGCCAUUCUCCUUUUCUCACCUGAUCUAAGCCUAGAUAUUCAUAUAAUCACUAAUCCUUUUCUAGCCUAAAAAGAAUCAGAUCUAGCUCUGCUUUUAUCACCUCUUGUCAACCCUGACAUUAAUAAUUUAUAAGCAAAUUCACAAAAGAAGCAUGUGCUUAAAUGCCUAAGAAUUGAUUUUCUCAUCAGAAAAUCAAUUCCUGAUGUUUUAAGGCAUCAUAUGAAACAUAAAGAAACUCAUGAAAACAUAUACCAUAAUCACUUCAUAUGAACAUUCACAAUAUAUUUUGGACACUAUUUUCUGUUCAAAAAUUUAAGAAUAAAUGUUUGUUUCAUUAAUUAUGAUUACCACAGACAGAAGUUAUGGAAGAUGAACAUAACUGAUCGAGGCAUUUAGCAUAAACCAUUUGCAUGUUAUUGAAGUCUCUUUUCUGUUUAAAGUUUUACAGAUACUCCUUAACAGUAUCCAAGCUAGGCCUAAAAAUUGUACAUCUACCUUUUGCAAGUAAUUUUUUGAGCCAGUACCAUCAACAGCAACAUAGUCAAUGAUCACAUCUUCUGAACCCUUCAGCAAAGUAGGUUUGGUAAUACUCGUUAAGGUAUUAUAAGUGCUAUACAAUGGCUCACUUGGAUGUAUGGUCUGCAAAAAAGAAAAUAUUACUUCCAUUUAAAACAUUUACAAUGGUAAUUUGUUGAAAAAUGUAACUUAAUUGUUGGAAAGGAUCACCUGUCCAACAUAAGGAAGGCCAUCUGAAUCAAUAGAAGACUUCAAUUUCCUGUCAUUGCUCCUAGCAAAGAUUUCCAAAAGCCGAUCUUCCUUUUCAUGCUUAUUUGCCAAAUCAAUCGACUCUGUCUGCAUAAAGUAUAAUGAUGGUGAUACCAUAUAGGUGAAAAUAGGAAAGUAUUCAUUAAUGGCCUGACAAAUUAUAUGAUAUGAAUAAAAUGCACAAGCUUUCUUUAUCUAAUAAUCCUCCAAGUGAAUUUACCUUUAACUCAUUCCAACAUGUAACUUCAACACAGACUAUCUUAGACCAACUCAAAAAAAUACGAUUGCAUGUCAUUGCUUCUUAAAAAAAUAAAACCACUCACAAUUAUUUGCAAGCACAUAUAAUAUUGACAAACUGUUAAUUAGCCUAACAUGAACCUAACAAUAGCCAAUAUGAUAAGGUAUUAGACUGCAUCUUCAUAUGUAAUUAAUGAACCAUGUGCUAAUUUUAACACAUCCAGAAGUUUUUAACUAAUCAAAUUUUCAUUUACAAUUCAUUAUACAUCUUCAAAUAUAAGUUGAUUCAUUUUCAAGGUAAAUAUAAAAAGGGUUUGGAUGGAUCCAAACUAGAAUGAGUGGUUGGCCCAUACCGACUUGUACCAAGCAUUGACAUGGUAUAAUAUUUAGUCUGAUCGAGGACCUACAGUGUACAUAAAACUUUUCCCAAAAUGGGAUAUCUAGUGCACUAUUCUUAAGGCCCAAAACAAUCUCUUUAUGGUGCCAUAUGGAUCUAAGCCAUUGCAUACUCUUCUUUUCUAGAAGCUGAAGUCCCGAUCAUUCUCUUCAAGGUGUCAUGAAAAACCCAAAGCCAUCUUCUAGCAUUUCUUGUGGGAUUGAAGUGGGUAGCUUACACCAUGUUGCUACCUAAGACUGGGUUGUUUUCUCUCCUCAAAGGGAGGAUAACCGCAUCUUAGAUGUAAAUAUCCAAAUAAUGUGGUACUAUUAAUAGUCCAUAAAGAUACACCAUGCAUAUGACGAAUUGUAAAGAAGUAUGGCCAAAGACAUUUUUAGUUAAUGAACACAAGAUAUCUCUGAUCCUUACUAUUUCAAACAGAAGACUAGUUAAUUGGCCAAGCACCCUCCUUCUAAGAUGGUGUUAGGUCCCUUUCAAAUAAUUUCCUCAAUUGAUCAAGAUCAUUAACAUCCAAAAUCGAAGAAGCAAUAUAUACAUUGAAAAGAAAUGCUAGAUAGAGUUGACCAAACAAGUGUCCCAUAAUGUUGCCACUCAAUUAACUUUUAGAAAUCCUCCCAUAGACAAUAGCAUUUAUGCUGGAUAACUUCUACUACUGUUUGCAGAUCUUGAAAGUGAAGCAACUAAUUAUAAUGUGUACAUGGAUUUAAUUGUUGUUUCAUAGUAUACUAUAUAAUAUAGUGCAAACCCAAGGGCAAAAGAGUGGAGACUUUCAUCAGUGCAGGAGACCUACAAUUUGUAAGCCAUACAAGAGUAAGUAGAAAGGUUGUUUCUGUGACUUGAACGCUGGUCACCCAAGUCUGAAAUGGCUCCGAUAAAGGUUAUAUUUUUUUUUCCUGUUCUCAGUUCCAUCAUCACCAUUAGCUAAUUUCCCCCCUUUUUGUUCUACUCUUUUCAAAGAACAGUGGCAUGCCAGUCAGUACGGCAUGGAUGCACAUUUUCACAAACAGUUGCCAACCCUAAUGCAACAGAAACUUAUAUAUCCUUGGCAUGUUCUUAGCUUCCAUCUCUUUGAUACUCUGUAUGGUUCUACAUAUGGUUUGAAAAACCACGUGGACCAAAAUGAACCAGACAACAAAUAUUGGCGUUUGCAGUGUCUCAGGUCUGGUCCAGGGGUUUUCAAGGCUGGUUAGUAUGCCAGCACGCAAUGUAUUGGCAUGUCGGUAUGCAAUGAGGCCCAAGCGCCUCAUGCGUAGACUAGGCAGCGUGCUUCAAUGAGGUGCUGCCUGGGCGAGCGCUCGAUUCAAAUAAGGCAACUGAACCAUACUUUUAAGUUUGGUUCGGUUCAACAGUAGUUAGUUACGUAUUUUCUUACCCUCAAAAGCCACCAUUCACGCCCGCACGACCCCAAGCCAACCCUACGCUGCUUCUGCCUCCACUGCCAACGCUUUUUGCCGCUGCCUCCACCAUAAACGCAGUAGACCAAGCCCUCCUCUAUUGCCGACGGAUGGGUCCGAUGCCCUAGCAAGAGCCCAUAGCUUCCUUCUGUCGUCGCUCCGUGUGCAAUUCCUUCCAUUGUCGAGGGAGAGGACCGCAGGUUCCUCCACCACCGACGGAUGCCCUUUAGAGCUUUCGCCAUUACCAUUGCUGUCGUUCACAAUGCUGCCACGGCUAUCUUAAACUAAAUAUCAGCCGUUGUCAGCUUCUCACCGCUAUUGUUGCCACUUUUCACUAUCGGUUUCCACUAUCAGUGACCCUUUUAUCCUCCUCUGUUGUUAAUAACAAAUAUUUUCUCUCCCUCUAACUACUGUUAACAGUAAGUAAUAUAUUGUUAACAGUAGAUUUUUAAUUUAAUAUCAUAUUUUUAUUUAAAUAAUUAUAUUUAUUAAUUAUAUUAUAUAUUUUUAUAUUUUUAUAUUUCAAAGCGUCUAGCACCUCAGGCUUUUUGGGACUUUGGCACCUAACGCUUUUUAAAUCACUGUCGGUAUGUGCCAACCACUCUAGCUAACAACCAGCAUGGGGUUCAAUAACAAAAUUUUAUAACAUGGUUCUACAAGCAUUAAAAAUUUCAUUCAUAAUGUAUUAGAGAUACACCAUUUUCAUCCUUGCUCACCAACUGCUUUGUGCUUUAGCCUAUUUAUAUUGCUAGAGGGCAUAAAAAAAAUACCUAAUUUGAUUAUUACAAGCCACAUAGUAGAAACAAGAAUCUUGAUGGGUACGGAAUGAUGAAAACCAUAGUCCCCUCAAAAGAGACUAAGAGGUCCAUAUAAUAAAUGGAUUUAAAAUACAUAUGAUAGAUGUCAAAUAAGGUCAUAUAAAACAUGUAAGUCAAAAAAUUAAAAAAAAUGAAGAUGAAUGAGACUAACCUGAUAUAUGUGCCCACGGCAUAGCCCACGAUCAACAGAUGACUUAUUCAAGAUCAUGGCAUCCUCCAUGUCAUAACUAAAAGAAAGAGGGGAAAUAGCUUAAGCACUAACCUACGAAUAAACAAAAUAUAAACAUUUAUUUAGUUAAAAGCUUUACCCUGUGUAAGCCAGGACAGCAACAAUUGCAUUUGUGCCUGUUGGGAAUUCAUCCAUGCAGUAUUUACUGUAUGAAGCAGUCCGAACAAUUGGUGAUUGAGGAGUCUACAAACAAAAUUCCAAGAGAAAAAAUAAAUGGUGAUACAUUAAAAAUAGAAUGAACAAAGGGAAAAGAAGGUAUUAUCCAAUAACUAACAGUUAAAAUAAACACAUAUGAUGUUGAUACCACAACAAAGUAUUGAGUAUAGUGUCGUAAGAAAUUUAGAAGGCUAAGAAAAAAUGACAGAUCAUCAUUAUAAUUUUUGAACAUAAUGAAUUGCGUGUUCUACUUGAAUUUCUCCAAUAUUCAGAAGCAUAGCAAGACUUGCAUCUCUGUAAUAUGCUGCCCAUAGAGCACAAGACAAAAAAGGCUCUUACAAAAGUUUUCUUUAUUUAAUGUUUUGUACCUGUGAGUUUGUGGACAGCUUAAUAUGCCAUUUAACUAGGAGAAAAUGGUUUCACAGAUACCUUCUACCCUACACACCAUGAACUUUUAAGCUACUUCAGUUUAUAGCCAUAUACCCUGAUAAGCACCAUGCACAUAACUCAACCACUAUAGAGCAGAGGAAUGUGCCAUCAAAUAAAAUUUCUAUGGUGUGAAAACAGUGGAACUAGGCUUCAGUCUGCUAUGCUUGAUAUUCUCAAGUAUGCUGACCAAAAAGGACAGAACCAAUUAGUUCUAACUAGGAUUAUGGCUCUUAGUGAAUAAUGCAGUUCCUCUUGUUGUCAGAUAUAACAUCAAUUUGAAGUAAAGUUAUAUGGACAAACCUGAAGAUGAUAUGACUUCAGAUCUGCACGAUAUUGCAGAGCUUGGGCAGAAAAACCCAUUGUCUGUUUUGCCAUCUGAAAAAGCAAGUACAGGGGACAUCAGGGUGAGUCAAAAAACAACUCAAUUUAAUGAUAGCUCACACGUCAGUAACAAGAGGACCUGGCACUGGUACAUGUUUCGGGGACUUUGAUUAUGAUCAGACCAGGGUGUAAGAUUGGCAACCACACUAAGUAUUCCGGUCGGGUGUAUUUCCUCAUGCGUCGCAGGAAAGAAUUCCCUUCUUCCACCAUUUCCACCAUCAGGACAUCUUAUUUCCAUAAAUGCCUAUGAAUGAAUAUUAUAAAUAUUUUAGUCCUCAUUGUACACAUCUAAAAUAAAGAGAACAUUUUCAGAAAUCUACAGAAACAAACAAUAACUUAGCUAUUUACCUGUUCAAAUGGCCCAAUAAGUUCAAUAUUCUUACUUCCAUCGGUCACUUGGAUAAGAUUUAUAACCGGCCGGAUAAAUCUGGAUGAAUUAGUAAACAUAUACAAGCCCGGAUAUGCCCCACCAAAACUUAAAGGUACGUAUCCAACCUCCAAAUCUUCAGGAAUCUGCAAUCACCAUGAUCAAAAUAUAAAAUGAUCCAAACAAGCAUAUAAGUAACAAAGCCAAGAAGACAGACCCCGCAAAUGCCAGACAGCUUUAGUCUCCGAAUAUGUGCAACUGCUUCCUCUAUUUUAACAGAAGAAAUAGAUCCUACAACACAUCCAUCUAAAAGAACAUGAAGAACUUCUGGUGGCCCAGCACGCUCAAGCUUAGGAAGCAAUGGUGUCAUCCCAAUCCCAACCAAAACAGAUAAUAUGGACAUUCUUAUCUUGAGAAAAUCUUUGACUCUUCCUUCUGAAUCAUAGAAAGAUGCAACACCUGAAGCACAAUUAUAGUGUUAAAUUACAACAAAAAAUGGUAUUUGAAAGAUUAAUUAUGUUUUUUCAAGAUCAACACAAAUAAAACAGUUAGUGGUAAGAAUUUAAAUCUAGGUCCAAUAUUGACUCAGGUAACAAGUCAGACCAGUGUUGUGCCUGUAUAUACAAACCCAUACGUCUUGUAUCAUGUGGUCCAAUACUGAUGAUCAGACUAGUAAAUACCAGUCGGUAUAAGUCUAUAGACCACUUCAACUGAUUUUUUUUUCUUGGUUAGUAGAACAAGCAUCAAAAUAAUGUUAACAUGACAUCCUACUACUGCUUCAGGUCAGAGCAUAAAGAGGAAAAUUGAAGGAUAGACAUCCAGUAGUCUGCUAAAGGAUAAUUGAGCCACAAACAAAUGGUAGAUCAAGAUACAAAUUUGAUGCUUAGAAACUUGACAUUGUAGAAGACAUGUAAUGUGGUUUAUGUCAUGAACUUACGACAAGCACAAGUCAUAUGGUUUAGCAAACCACAAGGCUCCCCAUCAGGUGUAUUAACGGGGCAAAGAAAACCCCAAGACCUACAAAUCGGACAACAAAAUAUGACAUAUAUAGAAAACAACUGCAACCAUCCAAAGACGAAAAAGUGAGAUAACAUACUCUGGUAGCAAUUUCCGUACACUAGUAGUGCGCAUUUUUGCAAAAGAAGCACCUCUAUGAACAGAACGAAAAUGUGAGAGAUAUCGAAAGAAGUUGAGUCUCUCUGCCUGAAUGCUCAUUCCUUCUCUCUACAAAUUGAAAACAAGAUACCAGUAUUUAAGAUAUAAAAAACCAAACAAAACGUAAAAAUUAUAGGAUUCAUCAAUUACCCACACAACCAAGAUAUCCCUGCAUAGACAAAAUAUGUUCACUGCAAUUUUUAACAUUCACUGUAUAAAAUAAGCCUAGAAGAUCAACAAUAUAAGCUAUUUAUUUAUUAAAAUAACUAAUAAAAAAAUAUAGAGAAAAAAAGAAGAUAUCCUUCUCUCUACAAAUUGAAAACAAGAUACCAGUAUUUAAGAUAUAAAAAACCAAACAAAACGUAAAAAUUAUAGGAUUCAUCAAUUACCCACACAACCAAGAUAUCCCUGCAUAGACAAAAUAUGUUCACUGCAAUUUUUAACAUUCACUGUAUAAAAUAAGCCUAGAAGAUCAACAAUAUAAGCUAUUUAUUUAUUAAAAUAACUAAUAAAAAAAUAUAGAGAAAAAAAGAAGAUUUGUAUAUGAUUAUUAUUGAUUUAGAGAAAGCCUACCAUAGAAUUCCUACAUACAUAUUUAUUAUUGUGGGUUUUCAAAAAGAAUUAUGUAUCCACUAAUUAAAUUGAUCCUACUAAGAAUAUGUAUGAUAAUAUAACUAUUAGUGUUAGAACUAUAGGGAGUGUAUUUAGUGAGUUUCUAUUAGUAUAAGAUUACAUCAAGGAUCUGCAUUAACUUCUUAUCUUUUUACAUUAAUAAUGGAUGAAUUUAUUAAUGUAUAGGACUCCCUGGUAUAUGUUAUUUGCUGAUGAUAUUGUUUUAGUCAAUGAGAGUCUAAACAGAUUUGAUUCUAAACACGAGUUAUUGAGGCAAUCUUUAAAAAUUAAAGUUAUUAUUAAACAGAACUAAAACUAAAAUGCAAUUUUAGUAAUACUAGGAAAAAACAAAGACAAAAAGAUAUAAUUAGGUUGGAUGGACAAGAAGUUCAAUUAGGUAAAAGUCUUGGUAUCUUGGAUCAAUUAGUCAACAAAACAAAGAUUGACAAAAAUAUUAUUCAUAAAGUUAAAACAGGAUGAUUAAAAAAAUGAUGAGAUGCAUCAGGAGGAUCAUCAAAUACCUUUAAGAUUAAAAGAAUAAUUUUAUAAAAUAAUUGUUAGACCAACAUGAUUUAUAAAUUGGAGUGUUGAACAGUUAAGAAAUAACAUAUACAAAAAUAUGUUGUUGAAAUAAGAAUAUUGAGGUGGAUGUGUGAAGUUACUAGAAAAGAUAGGAAAAGAUAUGUUUUUAUUCGUGAACAAUUACGUUUUGUUUCGAUAAGGGAUAAAAUGAGAGGAUCGUUUAGGAUGGUAUAGACAUAUGCUUAGGAAAUCUAUAAAUGCAAUAGUCAAAAGAUAUAAAAUGAUUGGGUGGUCUAAUGAGAGAGAGAGGAAGACCUAAAAAGAAUUUAAUAAAAAUUAUAAAUAAAAAUUUGAAUACUCUUAACUUAAUUAAACAUAUGACUUUUAUCAUCUUAAUGGCAAUAAAAGACUCAUAUAGUCGAUCCGAAAUAGUUGAGACUUACGACUUUGUUGUUGUUGUACUACCGAAUAAAGUAUGUACUAAAAAAAGAAAACAUCCAAUGAGAAAAAAAAUCAUUACUAGAUGUCAAAUACUUCACAUUUAUUACUAUACUAAUUAAAAAAGGAAACCUGAACAAGAUUAGUUUCUAUGUGACUAAACCACAUCCCUUGAUAAUUCUUCUUUUCCCAAAUAAUUUGACAGUCUUUUAAUCUAAACAAACAAUUAUCAACAGAAUAGUAUAUCAACUCACCACCUUUUAUAGUCUAUCAUAAUACCAUUUGCAUUUGAAAGUGAUCUAUAUGACUGAUGACCUCAAUGGCUCAACCUAUAGAAAUUUCUAUUUUCUAGAAUCAAGAUGACACAAUUGAUGGCACACAGCUCCUAAAAGGUGAAGAUGAAAGAGCCAUAAUGACUUUUUUUUUUGCAUAAAUGUAUGUACUUAGUCUAAUGUCCUUAAGAUAAAAGCAAUGACAAAAAACAAGUCACAUGACCACCAGGUCUCAUCUCACAAUAGAAUUUACAAUACCAAAAUUAACAUGAAAUGUCAAACAAAACAAGAUUUAACAUAAAAAAUGGUGUUUAGCAAUGAUGGCCAAAAGUAAGCACCUGAGGCAAAUCUAAACCGGAUGCUGUAUUUAGCCUUCCGAUUUUUAACAUACUUUCAAUAGCCCUGCCAAUAGUUGCAGAGCUACGACUAAAGAACUUCUUAACCUGUGUUACUGGUUUGUAAAUAUAAAAUGUUAGCAUCAAAGCAUAAAGUCUGAUCACAUAGAGACAGGGCAUAAGUUCUACCUAGUCAAAAGCUCUGUGAAGAAAACUGUAUCAAUAUCCUUGCGAAAUUUAAAUAGUUCAAUGAAGCAGACGUAUAGAAUCUAGAAUUAAAGAAUGUUGGACAUAACAUACUGAGAACCAAAAGUCAAAAGAUAAAGUCCAGUAAAGCAGAUUCAAGAAAAUACAAAGGGAUCAAGCUCUCAAAAUAUUUGACUCCAAAACAGAAGGAACAAGAAAUUCCAAGGACAAAGCUCAAAAAUUUCUACAGUGACAAAGAAAUUAUUAAUAUGGUAAUUGAAAAUUUACAAGAAUUAUAACACAUUUUAUUUUAUUUUUCAUCCUAAAAUUGUGCUAAUUAAAAAUUGGUUUUCUUAGGCAAAGAAUAGUUGGCACAAAAAACUCAGAGGACAAACGAAUGCAGCCAUCUUACAAGAAAAGGUUUAAUAACCAAUCUGAUACCAGUUACAACAACCUAUCAAACAAGUUCAUUACCUGUGCCAGCAAUCAAAUUCCUUUUUUUCUUCCUUACUUUUGCUAUUUGGAUGCGUUUCCUAAUUUGAACUAGCAUCAAAUUGGAGAACUAAGUCCUAAAAUAUUGAAUCAUACCAUGUCUCUACACUCAGAAAAGCUACUGGCCCACUCAAGUGCCUUGAUCUAAAAAAGUUAAUUUUUAUCAUAACCAUAGCAUUUAAGACCACAUAAUAAAAUCACGAGGAUAAUAUUUCAAUUUGAAACAGAAUAGUAGAUGAAGAGUUAAGAAUACUAAACAUAAUUACUAAAUUAUAUAUGAUCAAGUACCAAAAAUAGAAUGGCAUUCCUUAUAAACCUAAAACCACAUUAGUGGCAUGGGACUUAAAUGGGCCCAUAUCAUGUGAUGUUGGUAAAACUGAUAGAGUGAUAGUAUUGUUAAAUAGGCCAGGCACAAUGGAUGAGUCCAUAUGUAAUAUUCUCUAUUAGAUGGUGUAUAUGGACAAAGCCAGAAAUCUCGCUAGAGGCACUAAUCUAGUUCUGGAACCACCUGCGCAAAACAGAGAAUUGACCUAUAUUAAAUUGUAAUAGUCAGUACCAGUUUAUAUUGGACUUAUAUGUCUUGGUUGAUAUACCACAGCCUACUUGGAUCCAAGAAGUGCCACAUAAUACGAGUUUUAUUAAAAAAUUAAUUACAAUAAACACCAUACAAGAUGCUCAAACAUGCACUCGAACUUGACAUGUAAUGUGCAACAAACAAUGCACUAACCACUAGGAUGUCUCAACAUAAGCAAACAAUGCACUAAACAUAAUACAAGUCAACAUUAUGUGGCACAUUAUGGAAGUUUCUCAAGUCAACAUGUGUCAUACGUAGGUACCGCUACCAUACUAAUCCAUAUAUAUGAAAAGUAUAAAUGUGUCUAAAACAUAGCAACAUUCAAGUGUAAGAUCUCUAAUUACCGUUCAAGUACAUCUGUAACACCUUAACCUAUAAGUUACCAUGAGAAACUCCUAAACAUUUCUUUUGAGGAGCCAAAUCUAAGUGUGCAGGUGUACUCUGAGAGAAAUGGUAAUGACUUGGAUACUGUCUCAUAUGAUUACCCAUAUACAAAGUGAGAGUAUUUGAGAUAACACAGUUUCCAUCGUUCAGAAUAUCCUUGUGGAUUCUGAAUGCUCCCUCACCAUAACCUCCACCCUAAAAGAUCUACGGCCAUUAUUGCUUCACGAGAAACAACACAUUUUGGCUGUUAACCCAACCCCAUUUGCAUUAGACCGCAUGAUGGCACACAUUUGUUUUUAUAUCAUAACCACUACACCCAAAAAUGAAAACAUGAAAAAAUGUAGAUUUUUCCCUCAAAAUGAGUUCCCACAAAUUUCUUUUUAGAAGUAUAUAAUCACUUAUAUACAAUCUCAAGUCAUAGUCCAUAUUUGAUGUGUAAAUAUUGGGCCACUGGCGUAUGCAGAAUAGAUAAGAAUGUCAUAAUACAUGCAUGAGUACAACAAGAUGACCACCCAUGUGCAAAAUAUUCUGUUUCCGAAUGCAAGUUGAACUUGCUGACCAAAUAAAUGAUAAAACAUCCAAAAAUAACAUUAUUUAGCAUGAAUAGGAAAAUAAGCAUUGUUUCAAAUGGCAUGAAUAUUCAAAAAGUAUGUUUGUUGGAUUAUAGUUUACAAUGUAAAAGAGGCAAAUUGAAUAAAUCAAAGCAAAAUUAUGUUUCUAACAUACGAUUCUUGAUAUCGAUGUUUUUUUCCUUCUUUGCUGUCUCAUCAAGAAGUUGACGUUUUGACUUCUUCAACCAAUCUUGAAGUCUCUCCUGCACAUAAUGAUUACAUAAAGUACUAUUUGUACAUUCAAAGUACAAUUAUUGGUAAUCCACAUGAUGUGGCUCAAAAAUUAAGUUGUAUUAUCAAUUACAACUCAACUAGGACAUCAAUGUCAAACAAAUGGAGACAUUUAUGAAGCAAUUAAAAAAAGCUAAAUUUUGAAAACAAUAGUUUUGUAAUCAGUUUCAUUGAGACAACCUGUUGUCAUUCUACAAUCUACAACGAAACAAGAGCUUGUUUGUCUAAGCUAAGACUAUAUAUGUUGCUUUACUGUCAGGUAUGCAAUACCGUACCGUACCGAUAUUUCGAGGUUGCCUCGGUAUGGUAUGGUACGAUACCGGUAUACCGAGCAAUACACCAAGGCGUACCGAGCGGUACACCCUAGUGUACCAAACAAUUUUAUAUAUUUUCUUCAUUACUAUAGCACUGUUACAGUAUAACACUGUAGCACUAUAGCACUGCUACGGUAUAAUACUGCAGCACUAUAGCGGUACCAGACGAUCCGCAUACCAGUAUGCCAUCAGACCGGUACGUAUUGCCCGUACUGGGCGGUACCAUUCGGUACUGCAUACCAUGCUUUACUGUAUAUGUUGCUUUGACGUAGCUCCUAUUUAGAUGUACAAAUUUCUUCCAAUUGUUGUCGAUGAAUUACUAUUAAAUUGUUACUUGCAACAACUUGCAUAAGCACAUGUAAUCUACCUAGUAAUACAUGAAUCAAUCAUAUGAGACAAAGCUACUCUUUCAUCCCAUGCUUAUGAAGAAAGCCAGUUUUCAUUUGGAUCUUCCACGUGAAGAGUGAAUUAUAUCAGUAUCAGCAUAUAGACCUAUCAGUAAACAGCUAAGCAUCAGCUAAGUCGAGAAGAAAGUACUAAUAAAGUACUAAGUUACUAACUUAAUGGCAUUUUGCUUGAUGAAAAAAGCUCCAACUUAACGGCAUCAAGACAUGAAUAAAGUACUAAUAGAUGAUAAUUCACAUAGAAACUUAAAUCCAUAAGCAGCAAACCUUAAGAUAAAUGGUUAUCAAAUGCCCAGGCAACAGAAUCUCUUGAUUUUGCAAUGCAUCAGGAUUAUCAGGUGCAGCAGUUUGGUCCACAAGUGCAUAAAGUUUCUGCAGCAGAAAUCUAAGCAAGCACGGGAUUAGGCAAAAUACUUGUUCAUACUGUUUGGUAAGAAAAAUCCAGAACAAGAGGAAGCACACUGGACAAUAUAGGAUGACAGUAAGAGGUAUGAACCAACAUUAGUAAAUUGAACUUGUCAUGGUUGCUUGCAAGAUGAACAAAGAUAUAGUCUCUAAGAACAGCUUCUGCGACCUACAGGAAAUAGUAUAGGCAUUUAACCAAAUUAGUUUAUACUAGCAAGGCCAAAAAAUAAAGACAAAAAUAAAAGAUAACUAGCAUAAAGAAUGGUGUGGAUGGUAGCAAUAUAGUUGAACUUACAGUUGUAUGACUUUCAGUUUCGAAUCCAUUCAUGGCAGGUCGGAAGUACUCUCCUACAAAGAACAUGCACAAAUUAUUUAAAAGCACAAACCUGAACAAAUGCUCUAAGAAUCAAAGCAUACCGAUAUGCUUUAAGCACUGAGAGCGAGUCCAAAGGGACAAAUCUCUGACUUCAUCAAGAAUUAUUUGAGCUCUUUCACCAAUAAGUUGAGUGGCAACUGCACCUUUUUCUCUUUGGUAUCGAUCAUUAUAACAGCAUGUCAAGCUCACAAAGAUUUCAUGAUCAUUUGUGUCAAUGAGAGCCUGUCAAAAACCAACUUACUAUGUUGUAGUGGAACUAUUUAAGGAAGCAAAGAAAAAAAUGAGAAUUUGCAUUAAAAAAAUGGGGGGAUAAAGAAGACAAUUUCAAUUUAAAUCUGGGUUUUUAAUUUCGAAUGAUACUGCCCGUACCGGACGGUACAUACCGGAUGGUACGUACCGGUCCGCUUGCAGACCAAUACACGGACUCUCUGCUACCGGGCAGUAUUGUCGAUUUGGGCUGUUUCCGCCCCGUUACCACGAGAAAUCGAACGAUGACGGUCGAUUUUGACCAUCGCCGCCUACUAUGGGGCGAUAUUAGCCGAGGGAGAAAGAAGGGAGAAGAAAAGGGAGAACCUAGAGAUCCGGCGCCACUCUCCCUCGACGAUCUCAAUCCGUCGUCAGACGCCACAGAUGAGAUGUCGCCUCCGCCUCGUCUGAGGCGACGAGGCCUCAGUGUCGUCGGUGACUUCUCCUCAUCCACGAGAGAAGAAGCCUCGACGAUGUUAUACGCGCAAGGAAGUUAUCGCCGAGGCUUCGCAAGGAGAAGAAACGAGACGUCGUAGCCCUUUUUUUAAUUUUUUAACUUAUAUAUAUACAUACAUAUAUAUAUAUAUAUAUAUAUAUAUAUAUAUAUAUAUAUAUACAUACAUAUAUAUAUAUAUGUGUAUGUAUGUAUAUAUAUAUCGAGCGAUAUGCCAAAGCGUAUCACUCGAUAUACUCGUACCAUACCAAACCAAGCUAAUUUCGAUACUUCGGUAUAGUACAAAAUUGUGAACCUUUCAUCUAACAAUAAAGUAUGAGAUAAGGCAUAAGCAACAAUAAAGUAUAAGACAGCAAUCACCUUCAUGAUACACAUGGAAAUGUCAACUAGCAACACUGUCAUACUUGCAUGAGAAGUAGGUAGCCAAGAAAAACCAAGAUAAAGGGGACUACAACAUGUACAUGCCCAUCCCAACAGACUCUAUGAGCACUCAAAUGUAUUAAUUUAAUGUAUGUUUGAAUUUCAAUAUGAUCUAAUCAGGGUAGAUAUUAUUCCACCCAGACGAGCCCUGAACUUCAGAUGACUUUGCACUUAUUAACGAAUAUGUGUCUAAUUAUCUGGCUACAUAAGAUUAGUAUCGACAUAGUGUUUAAUUCAUAGAGUUACAAUGAUAGUUUAACUGAUCUAUUAAAAAGUAAAACCAAAUGAGGGCAUUCCUGCAACAGUUAUAUAAGAUCAUACUUAAGGAUCAGACUGUUCUUUAUAAGGAUAGUAACAAUUUGGUUGUAUUUUUCAAUGCUUGUCAUUGCAUUCCUUUUUUUAUUUCUUUUUCCUUUUCAAGAUACCUAAAGAUGCCUCCACAGUCUUGUCAUAUCCAUAUCAGUUGCAAUGACCUCCUGAUCUGUACUCAAGGUGAUGAAAAUAAAGCAAAAGCUAAACUCCCUGAAUCACUUUCCCUGCUAUCACAUAAAACUUUCAGAGAAAAACUUCCAACCAUUCAUUACUUGUAGAUAACUCCAUCUUUCUUAUGUCUUAAAAGUAAAUAUGUUGAGUUACAAGACAAUACAAUUUAUAUAUGCGAUUAAAGUCUAUGGUAGCUCACCUUCAGAACAAUCCCAACAGGAAGCAAGAAUUCCCUUCCUCUUAUCCUAAAAUAUCAAAUAAAAUAAAUUAGUAUCAACAGUCCAAAUUUGGGUAAAUUAACUUAAACAAUUACAUAUAAAUUAUUACCAAAAUCCAAGUCUUGCACUUCCAUUUUCAAGGUAAUACAACUUAAGUGUAACAGAAGAUUGAUCUUCUCGAACACAUCUACAAGACAUAAGAGUAUAGUGAAUGAUAAUUUAUAUCCUACAAAACCUUGUUCCUCCAUAAAAAGAGGAUUCCUGCAUGCCAAAGAUCAAUUUCUCAUAAUACCAAGACCAAAAUGGCAACUGUUCACCUUGUUCAAUGAGAGUUCAAUUUUCAGCAAGCCACAGUGCAUGAUAUUGCAGUGAAUGUCAGAAGAACUGAAAGAUGUGAUUGUGCCUCAAGCAAUGAUAUGAAGAUAAUAACAACAAACCACUGUUCCCAACUAUUUUUUAAACUACAAGGAUCAUUUGCCACCAUUAAACUCCAUCAGAGCAAAGCCAAAUAAAACAACAAUCAACAAAUUAGUCCAUAACGUUUCUAGCAAAAUAUAUUUUUCAGUUCCUCCACGGCAUUUGGUUUCACUGAUCAAAUAAAUAAAACAUGUCUUUCAAGCUCAUAAAUAAAUAAUUUAAUAAAUUCAGACCAUCUUAAAUGAUUACACCAUUUCAUCCAAAUAUAUCUAUAAUUAUUUCCAUGAAUGAAAUUCUUUUUGUUUUAUUUUUUCCAGUAAUUUCAAUUUAUUCAUGCUGUAUCACUAUCUCUAGAUAUGUUGGUUCAGAAAGUUUUCACCAUUACAACAUUAUUAAAACUUAAUCAAGCUACACCAAGACCUUAGUUCAAGCCACAUCAGUGACUUUAUUUAUUCUGAACUUCUGCCUAUUUCCAUACAUAAAUUAUAUCACAUUCAUCACCAGAUCAACAUAAUUUUAAGAUAUAACUAGUGUUUUUGUAAUAGUCUUGCAUAAUUCCUGAUAUCAAUUUCAUGAUCAAAAUCUAGGUAGUAUGCUGCAAUCCUUUGUCUUCACAAUAUCUCGCUUCAAUUUGUGUGUAAAUUCAAGGUCUCAAUUUCAUAAACAAAUAUGAGUUACAUUUCCAGUCAAUGUUUUCAAGUAUCUGUAUAACAGGUGGUUUUCAGGUUAUUUUCAAGUAUGCUAUAAUAAGUUGGUUCAGAAGUGGCGAUAAGAAUCAAAGUCUCAAGCAAUAAUGUUGUCACGCUUUCAAUCGCCCAAUGAUCUCGCCAUAAAUGUUAUCUUCUAAGAGCAUGCAAGAAAAGUUAUUGUUAAAGAAGAUUGAUAUCUAUAUUUAUUAAUGAGAACAUAAGAACUUUGCAGAAUUUAAAUAUCAUAUGAAACAAUAUACAUGAACCAAAAGAAUCCUGAUCAUAAGGAUAUCAAAAAAUGGCAAAAUCGUUUAAGAGCACUUGUUACUGAUUCAAAUAAAUUUUGUGGAAAGCAUUUGCAGAAGAGCAAUGUGAAGAUGCAUGUGAACACAAUGGAAUGAAAACCCAAAGUUAGCACCUCAUAACGACAGCUUUAUCACCGUAUCCAGGUCCUCGAUUACGAAAUGAUUUGCGCACCAUGCUCAUUGGCUGAAACACAAAAGGAACAAUCAUACAUACGCAAUCUACAAAAAACAGAUACGAGUGCAGAGUAAAUCACACAAUUCCUAACACACUCAUUUUUUUUCUUAAUUACAGAAAGAACUUGAAGGAUUAGACUGAUUCUCAUAACAUCUAAGAGUUUGUUAACAAAUGCCUCACGUAGUUUUGCUUUUGUAUGAUUAAAAGUCGCACAAGACGCUCCAGUCCAUUGCAAAUGAAAUACCUACGGAGUACCAAAAAACAUUUCAGAAAUUGUUCAGCAAACAAGAAAAAAAAAACGGAUCAAGUGAAGUCAUAGCUAUUUCACUACAGGAAUAUGGUAAGAUACCAAAGAAAAGAUCACAUUCUGCUGACCAACAGAUCAAAUAUUAAUUGUUAAGUCUGCAAAGCAUAAUGAAACUAGUGGGCAGUUAAUUUCUAAACAAAGUGACUAAGAAAGAAGCAUCGAAUUUUGAUUCUACACAUACAUUCAGUAUCAACAUAGAAAGCAUUGCUCUACGUGUCAAAUCCGACAAAAAGACUACUAUGCAUAAUCUUGGAUACCUAUAAGCAAGUGGCCUAAAAAUUGCUCAAGCCUAGGUUAAUGAUAAUAAACAUCAGGGUUUUCAAUUUCGAUGUGUACCGCCCAAUACAUAUCAGUCCGAGAGGAUACCGGUACGCAAACCGCCCUCUACCGGGCAAUACCAAUAUUUUGACUAGCACCGAGACGUACCGACCGGUACCACCCCGGAUUUCAAUCGUUACUGAGGUGUACCAAUCGAUACGUCCUAGCAUGGUAGGUGAGAUAUAUUUUGAAGUUCUAGGGUGUACUGUCGGUACACCCUAAGUGCACAUACCGUACCGAGCAGAGCUUGGUACGCCGGUACGAACUGAUAUUCAAAACCCUAAUAAGAAUACCCAAAACUAUAUACUAUCACAAUCAUCCUCCCAUGCCCAAUAUGGGGUUAAUUAUUCCCUGGUAAAAGAUGUGUAUCUUAUGGUGGUAGAUACGCUUUGAUAUCAAUUGUCAUGAUCCAACUCAAUAGAACUACCGACCCAAUAAUUUGAAGACCCAAGACUGUGUGGAGCCAAAAUUGCAUAAACCCAACAUUAGUAGGCAUAUCUUGAUGUCUAUAUUAUCAUAAUCUCCCCCACUUUGAGGUGCCACCAACAAAAGCUCAUUUAUAGAGGAUCGCACAGUGUCAGACCAUUCAAAAGUUCAUAAUCACUAAGCAAGAAACUGGAAAUCUAACCGCUAGAAUUAGAAAUUUCAAUGAUUCAGUGCACAUUCCUUUCUCAACACCAAAAGGGUUUCUUAAUAAGCCAUUUAAGUAACAAUGCAAUGAAAUUAUGAAAUAUACCUACCCACCCAUUUCAGUUGCCUCCUCCUUGUGGGCAACCAGUUUUUGUGGGUCAGCACCUCGUAAGUGGCAGAGUUUCGACUGCAAUCACAAAUACAUGUCGAUGUAACACUUAAUAACAUACAAGAUCAUUUUUUUAUAAGAUAUAUUGCCCAAAAAUUUAAAUAACAGACAGAAAGGCUGACAGAAGUAAACUAUGAUUAGGGAGAACCUUAAUAUGGUAUUGUAGUCAACUUAGGUAUUGUGAUUAUAUAAUUAAAAUAUAUACUCAUUUUUUUAUUUUUUUAAUAUAUCCUCAUUUCACUACUUUGAUAUAGGUAUCAAUAAAACCUUCAGAGAUGAGAAGAGAGAUGCAGAAUUUCACAACUGAUAUGACUCUCCAGAUGCAACACAUCCUGAAUCAUGCUUCAUUUCCUUCUGAUUGAUUUGAGAAUGGACAAAAUACAUGAAUAUUACACCAAUGUUGUUCAUUAAGGAUUAAAGCAUCAAGUGCAACUUAUAUAUCAAUCUUAAGGUAUAUGAACUUGUAUAUCAUGUUCCAGGUGAUGCAUAUGUGUCAGGUGAAGAUAAGUUCUUCGUGCAUGGCAUGACCAGUACACAAUAGCAAGCACACUAUAACAAGUGAAUGAACAAAAUAUACCCACUAAAAGUUUCAUACAAGCAGUGGUCCCAAUAUGGGUAUUUUAGUGCUUUUUGGUCCUUCCUGCUUAUGUAUGCUGAAAUGCAACAAAACAUCCCUAUUUCCGCUCAAAGGAAUUUUCUCAAAAUUGAAGAAUUUUAGGCUGCAAUAGUCCAUAAGUAUUAACCUUCAUUAGAUUCAUAAUUUCCUCCAAUCCACCUCAAGCUAAGUUAACAAUAUAUGUUUUACUGGGUGGACUGAAAAGUCCAUAAAUUAAAUUACAAAACACUAACAAUGUAAUCUAGUCAUUUUUUGUUAUCUUUAUAGAUGUGCAAGACAAUUGCUACAGCUGAAAAAUCAUAACUUCCAAUUUAUUGACUAGGCUUAUAUGUGUGUGUACACACAACACGAGGAACCAACGAAUCGCCAGUAAAUAUGAGAAUAGCCGUGUCUCAGAGAAAGAAAUCAUAAAUUCCAAUUUCUUGACUAAGCUUAUAUGUGUGCGUGCAUGCUAUACCAGAAACCAAGGAAUUCUCAGUAAAUAUGAGAAUAGCUGUGUCGCAGAGAGAAAUUACACCAUACCUUUAACAUUAUUGGCAAAUGUCCAAAAUUGAUGUUUUCUCUGACAACAACUCCUUCGUCAUACUGAAAACAGACAAGCGCCCUGAAUUCUCCUUUAUAAGAUAUCCUAGCCUGCCUACACUGCUUUCAUCCAAGAGGCGGGGAUUAACUCACAAAUCAAUAAAGACACCAACGAUCAAAUCUUGAACAUAAAAUCACCCACCUCGUGGGGAAACAAGGGUUCGCUCAGGCGCCCGUCCCUCAUCGGAGGAAGUAACUGCGGCUUCUCCAAGGAAAGUAUCGAAACACGUCAAGGAAAAACCAAUUCAUAGAACACGAUAAUUGGCGAAAAUUAACAAGAAACAAGCAAACGAAUAAAUUGAGGAUUUUAGAAAGGAUAUCUCUGAGCUUGAUUCCGGUGUGAGGGUCCGAGAUCUCGAUGGGCCGUAUGGAGAGGAAAGCCUUCUCCAAUCCUUCAUCGAGAAAGUAAUCGAACGACUCGAUGUGGGGACGGAAGAGCUCCUGCAGCGCCUGGAAGUCGGACUUCGACGUGGAUCCCAUGGCCGACACCUACGCUCCCCGCCUCUCUUCUGCGCCAAAAUUGGAUCUUUAUACCAAAGGCGGCUGCCUGCGACAACGGAGGCAGGUUCGUCCAAACCGGAGCUCGACGAGGAAGAGAUGGAGAGAGGCGCCGGGGAAGAGGGGUGUGUACAUGCAGAGGAAGAGGUUGGGGUUUAGACGGGACUGGCAGCGAGAAAGCCCAACCCUAGCGGGGUUUUAUUACCGUUGAAACGGGUUCGGGUUCGGGUUCGGGUUCGGAUCCGCGACGAAGGGACACGGUUGACACCUCCGCAUGUGAAGCAAAGAAGGAUCCGAGAACACGUGGAACCUAAUGAUUGGAUGGCUUAGAUCCCUCUCCGCUAGUUAUAUACAAUAGAGUUCAGAUUAGGUUUAUAAUGGAUAUUAGUACUAAUAAUUUUCUUAUGUUCCUCUGCUUCUCAUACUUCUUUUUUUUUCUGUAUUUUGCAUUGAUAAUUAAUAUACAUUUUUCUCUUUUUUUCUGUGCAAUUGCAUAAACUUUGUGUUUUUACAUGUUUAUUAGUUUGGCUUUUUCCAAUAUAUACAAAAAAUGGAGAGUUCUUAUUUUCUGAUCUUGCAUAUAAACAUUGGAAUUUGGCAAGAUGACAGAAAAUUAUUAUCUGUUGAUUUGGUGCAUUAAUAGCUACCAUUAAAACACUAAUAUUGAGACAUAAUGUGCAAUUCAAGGCGUUGCCACAACCAGAUCACAGAGAAGGAAACUAGCAGAAGAGGUUCUCUUCUGCUGCACAUCUUCUACUAGUUUUUACUCAAUCUGAUCCUUUCCCGCAACCGGAAUCAAGCCCAGCGGCGACGGUGAACGCCGGCGGAAGGCAGGCUUCAUCUCUACCUCAGCCUGCAUCUGAUGCUUGUUGAUCUUCUCAUGCUCUUGCUUGAUCCUCCAGACUUGGAUGUGAACUAAGACAUGGUGUGCCCGCUGCUCUCCUCUACUCUUCUGAUGCACGUUCUCCAUUGCUAGAGAAGUGAAACCAAAUCCUGACCCUGUUUCUCGAAAUCACAUUCCAUUUAUACCAGAGGGGGUGAGGGGAGGGUAUGAAGUUUGAACAUGGCUAAGAAGUAGGAAACUUGUCGUUUGACCAACACUUCUGAAACGUUGGAGACUGGAACAUGGUCUUCGUCCAUGAACAGAGUUCUAGAACCUGUCUUUCUUGGAAAACUAGAACAGCGUAUCUACAAGGACAAACAUUUGAAGUAUACAAGAGAAGAGCUAAGGAGAAUUUUAUUCUCCCAUGCAAUAGACAAGUAAAUGCACAAACUUGACGUCUAAACCCCUCCAACACAUCAUCUACAUCUUGAAGACUAUGAUCUGUUCCAUAUAUUACCACGAGUUUGUGCUGCUAUUAUAAGCUUUGGAAUGCCUUCAGGGAGGAAUUCCAAGCAGGUUCUGACUUAUGUUGGUCAACAUGGAGUGUUUGAAUUCCAAAAACGCCACCAUGGACUGUGGCACUAAUGCUUUUGUUUAUGGUAGAGAACACUGUUAAAUUCUUCAAACAUUUGAUACACCAAAGACUCCAAUCAGUUGCAUGGAAGAAAAGCAUACAUGUCAAUUGUUUUUUACCCCAUAAGUUACUAAAAAAGAGCAGAGACAAAGGAAGCUCUGCCUCAAAAGACAAACAAGAACACAGAAGACAACAUAUGUCAUGGAUUUCUGACAAACUUUUCACUGAUGACAAUGAUGCAGCAGAUUGUAACAACAAGUCUUCAACAUAAGCAUCCAUAUUUAUCAUUUUUAAUCUAUUGCAAGAUCCAAAGAAAAAAAAAAGUAUCAGAACUAUCAACAACACUCAAACCUGAUAUAAUUGGAUCACUUUUCAAGUUGCAACACUUGAUGUUUUACAGCAUGUCUUAUGAGUUGCAGAUAGCAGUUCCAAUCACCAUGCAUCAGAUGUUGUUCCACUUCUUGCAGGAACACAUCCUCCACAAUUGUUGAAUUUGGAUGAGAUAGCAGCCCAAAACGCCAUCACUAGAUUGUGUUUGAUGAGAUAAAAAUAAAUGGCUAGAAUAUAAAAAUAAACUUCUUGGUCUACAAGCAUCUACCUAAUCUAAAUAACAUGGAUAAUUGAAGCAUCAUAUUUUUUUAACACUGUUGAUCAUGCUCUUAUGCUGACUAACACAAGCAUAUGAUGAUACAUAAUUUGACUUUGGCAACAAGUACUGAUCCAUAUCAAAAUAUCUGUUGUAGCCAUAACAUUUCGCACAUGAUCUAUCAAACUCAUGAUAUUAUUUCUCUGCAUUCUCAUACUUCUUUUUGUUCCAGAAAGAAGAGAAUAUGAGAAACAAGAGUGACAACAAAGAACAAAAACAAAAGAAGACCAGAACAUCACAACCACAACAGAGACUUCCAAGUCAACUUUCAUAAAGCUUGUCUGAUGCACACCACCAGCCUCAUCUUGUGAACACACACUGUUUCCAGUUUGUCUCCAAGCAGAAUCCAAUUUGUUGUUCUACAACUGGGUCUCUGAAGCCUAUCAUCUUUGUCCAAGUUGUGCAUUCUAUAAUGGUUCCCAUGUCACUCACAAAAACACUGUGUCAGCAAGAACACACCUAAGUUUUGGCUAUGCUUGCAUCUUUGUCAUUGUUGUUUUUUUCUGUGGAUUAGUUGGUACUUGGGCCAUUCAUCAUUUAACAUCAUAUUUAAGUGGUUUAGUCUAUGCAUAGGUGAUUCACUACAUAUUAUUUGACCUUCCAAAGUCAUCAUGAUUGAAUGAUUGUGCAUGGCCUUCAUAAGUACUUGGAUUCUCCAAAAUGCAAAUGGAAAUAUAUGUUGGCACAAAGUACAUUAUACCAGAGCUUAUCAAUUACAGAACAACUGCCUAGGAAUGGAUUGAUUAAUUAGGAUCAAUAAUUAGCUAGAAUUAUGUUCCAAGAUUUCAAAUUAGGAUAUACUCUUACAUGCUAAUAAAGCUUAAAUUACUAAAAUCCUUAUAGGAGCAAAGAUUAGAUGAAGAUGACCUUAAGUCAAUCUACAUUACUGAUGUGAAUUUGACUGGAUGGAUGGUCAGGAUCAUCUGAGAGCAGGGAUGCGCCCCAUGCUCUCAGACCAGUGAAGUUUUGAGGAUGCCAAUAUGUGCUUCCUCCUCAGUCCACCACUCCUACCUUCUCUCUCAGAGAACAUUCACCUCGCUGUUGUUCUUGUUCUCAGAACCACAUCCCAACCCAUCUCAUUCCCUCUCUCACCUCUCUUCAUAUAUAACCCCACUAUGGCCUUUCUUCUCUCUUCACCCUUCCCCUUCAUACACUUUCUCUCACUCCUUUGCAUAAGAACAUUUGGACUAACGAGAAGACACACACACACACACACACACAUAGAAAGCGAUGUCUGAACUCUUGCUCCUCCUUGUAUUCUCUUCUCUUGCGUCCCUGACGACGUCGGUCGCCGACGACUACACUGGCUUCGUCUAUGCCGGGUGCUCGCAGCUCAAGUACACCCCCGACUCGCCCUACCAACUCAACGUCGAGUCCCUACUGUCUUCCAUCGCCAACGCCGCCACCUUCUCCUCCUACGCCAACUACACCUCCGCCUCAGCCGCCGCCUCCUCCCCGGUCUACGGCCUCUUCCAGUGCCGCGGUGACCUCUCUUCCUCCGACUGCAAUUCCUGCGUCCGCUUCGCGCUGUCCCAGCUCUCCGCCUUCUGCCCCUUCACCGCCGGCGCCGCCGUCCAGCUCAACGGAUGCUUCCUCCGCUACGGCAACGACUCCUUCGUCGGCAAGCCCGACACCAGCGUCCUCCGCAAGAAUUGCGGGCCUGUCGCCGGCGGCGGAGGGUACAACUCGGACGUGCUCGGCAUGCGCGACGCCGCGCUCGCCAGCCUGGCGUCGGGCUUCACCGGUGGGAGCUACAGGGUCGGCGCCGCCGGCUCCGUACAGGCGAUGGCGCAGUGCGUCGGGGACCAGGGCGCGAAGCAGUGCAACGACUGCGUGGCGGCUGCGGUGGCGCAGCUCAAGGCCGCCUGUCCGUUCGCCGUCGCCGGCGAUGCUUACCUCGGCAAGUGCUACGCCAAAUACUGGUCCAGUGGAGUCUACCAUUCCGAUACUAACGAUCAUGGUAACCGCUCCUUCCUCUGAUCACCGACGGUGCUCCUACUCUCUGCUUUCUUGUGCUGUUUUUGGAAUUUAGUCUACUAAAUUAUAUACUUGUAAUGGUCUUUUGAUGUGAUAUUGUGAUGAAAAUUGACCAUAAAUCUGCUUGUUUGGUAUAGUUUGUGACUUAAGCUUAUCAACUUUUGUUGCAUAGUCUCUGUCUUGCUUGUAGUUAUUGUAAUUAGUUUUUGGUUAGUAUUUUUUAUGUAGCAAUGAGAUCAUACUAUGACUAUCUUCUUCCAUAAAAUGGUUCUAUUUUCACUAGCAAACAUCCUAGUGGAGAAUCCAUGAUCUUGUGUUCUAUCAAUAAUUUGCUUGGAGGGUUCAAAUUGAUCCAUCACAAUUAAUAAGUAGGCCAGAAAGUAACAUGUGUGCUAUACAGAUGCAUCUUAGUUAUCUACUCUUGAUUUAGUCAUUAGAUUGUAUAUAUUGAUUUAGUUAUACUUGGUGGAAAUUAAUUAAGUCUUCAUCAAUUUAUGCAACUGCAGUAUUCAUUGCUCUCUUUGAUAGGACAGUGUUUGCCACUCUAAGUAGUCCUCAUGCCUUCCAAAAGGGAAGUUGGACCAUAUAGAUUGGCAUCCUCUGACAAAUCAACUUCAGAUCACAUCAUCAUUCAAUUAUUGAAGUCCUUUGAAGGAGUCUCUACUAAUUGUAUAGAGUUCUAUUAACUUCAUUAACAUUAAUUUGUCCAUUGAUUCUCUCAUUUCAGAGUUUACACACUGUGCAUCCUAACAUGAUUUGCCCUGAGUUGGUGUUUCAUUUGUUCAAAGUUAGACUGAUGAACCAUAAAAGUUGGUUGGUAGCAGUUUGAUCAAUUCAAAGCAUGGAUGGGUCCACACAAGAGUUUCUACAUUGGAAGACCACACAUUUGUUCUAAUCUAAUCCCUUUCUCCCUCUACAUAUCAAGGAUUUGUAGCCCCUGCUCCACCUUUAUAAAUCCUAACAGUGACAAUGUUUCUGCAAUAAUUCAUUAUAUUGCUGGACAUUGCUGGUUUAGUGGCCACGAAAACCAUAUUUCUGUAAAUUUUAGUCUCUGAAACUUCUGAAUGGAGGUUUUAGAACCAUCCAAAUUUAUCUUGAAAUGGUAGGAAUCCUUGUUUAAGAUUCUAAUUCAACUCUAUCUCUAUAUAAAACAUACUAUAGCUUACAUAUAAUGACAACAAAAGAUAAAGAGCAAGAUAAAACAUAAAAAAAAGAAGGCUUUAUUGCACAAGUGUACAUAAAAGUUACUUGAUAAAAACAAUAAAUGAGUACAGCCAAAAUUUAGUAUUGUUGAAAUUUGUGUAUCUUAAGAUCUUAAAAUUUGGAGUUGAAAAAUUAAAUAAGUAUGUUACAAAUUGAAUGAGGUAUAUCAUCUUUUAUCUGUUACCUUCACAAUGUCUCCUGGAAACCUUUUCCAAAUAGUUUCUCAUUUCCAAUGCAAUUAACCUUUUCUUCAGGUGAUCAGGUUGGGAAAACAGUGGCAAUCAUCAUUGGGCUCAUUGUAGGAGUUGCACUCAUAAUAUUCUUGGCUGCCUUCCUCAGAAAAGCUGGAAAUUCUGGUCACUCUCAUCCUCCUGCUCAAUCUGAUCUAUAUAUGCAUCUUGUAUCCAUAUUAUCAUCCAGUUCAAAUCCCCUAACAUAUGUUGUUUUGGUCCAUUUGCAGGUAAAGACUAAGUUGAAGUGGAGGUAAUUGCUUUUGGCACCUUUCUCCAAGUUUUACCUUCUUUAUUUUGAUGUUUCUUUUCAGUAAAUAAUGUUGGGUUUCCUUGCAUGAGUAAAGUUGACAAAACAGACAGAAGGAGAAGAUUCCAUGUAACAAAUAAUCUACAUUGUAGUUUGCAUUUUCUAGUGAGUUAUUCUUAUCUAUGAGGUGGAUCUUUUCUUGAGCAUGUUGCUCUUGUCUCUUGAGUUGGUGGUAUGUGGUCUGUGAUAGAGAUCAGGGUAUCAUGGUAGGUGACACAGAUUCAUGUUCUUGGGAUUGCUUGAAUCUUAAUCAAAGCAAAUGGGAUAUCCUUUUGCUUACCAACUCAAUCAUUUCAACCAACUCAACUCAAUUGGCUGUUGAUUGGGAUUGAUUAAUGCAAAGAUUGCUUAUAUAAUAAUUCUUUUCUAUUCAUACAUUAGGAGUUACUACUGAUCAACCUCUGUUUUAUCAUUGUUCAUAAAUUGUUAUUGUCAUUUUUAAUAGUAUACAAAUAUUUGAAGAAGUCUUUUUUACCUAUGUAAUGUAUUCGACAAACCGUCAUAUCAAUUUUCAAUUAAGAAAUAAUAAUGCCAAUAAUAAAAGUAGUCUACUGAAAGAAUAGAAAGAUUUUUUUAACCUUCAAUUAUAUCUUUAAACCAAAAUAAUGAUAUUAUAUUCCAUAUGUUUGGUUAAGAUCAAGUGUGAUAUUAUGAUAUAGCUUGUGCAUUUCUUUGUGUCCACCAAAUUAAGAUUUAUACCGAUCGAUCAUAAUUGACUAAAUUUAUUUCUCUAAUCCAUAAACUAAGUGGGAGAUAUUUGUUAUGAUAUAUUUUAAAAUUGGGCAUUAUAUUUCCAUCAAAUUUUUUUAAUAAUUUUUCUUCGAUACUUAAGUUAGCGAGAGGAGGGUUUUAAAGAAUUAAAAUAGCUCGAGCACUAUAAAAUAGGCUAUAGAUUUUUUCUUUAUAUAUGAGUUAAAAACGGUAUUCAUAUUUCCUUGCAUUGUUAACGACAUAAUGCUGAGUGCAUUAAAAGAAUCCCAUAUAUAUACAUAUAUUUAUGUAUUUAUUGGUGAAUGAUGUUUUUGCUUACUGCUCACACACACACUCUCUCUCUCUCUCUCACUCUCUCUCUUUCACGGACACAACCAAGCAUGCACGCGAAUGCACAUAAACAACAUGAAAGCUAAGUUAAAGUUUGAUCUGCUGGCCAACAAAUUGAACUGUUGAUGGGACCUGAUUAAUGCAUUCAUGAAAUCCCACCAACAUCUUCCGGCUAUAGUAUUUACAGCUAACGUGGUGGGUGCUGCUGCCAGUACUGGUUAGCCCUAUCUUCCUACCUUCAAUUAGAACCGAAAAGAAGUGCAUGGGUCGUCAUCUCACUGUCGAACGAAUCCUGUACAAAUCGAAUCAGUAAGCCUGAUCAAUAAUGUUAAGAGAACUAGUUGCAGAUGACUACUGAACUGCUUGUCUUGGGUGCAAAUCCACAUGCAUUUACUUCUUGAUCAUUUAGACUUUUCUCCUUGACCUUGUCUCUCCUCCUCCUGCACUUGUUUCUCCAGUUCAUGUGGAGGACAAGAGGAGAGAUUUAUGUAGAGUCCAAGAGGUGGCAUCUCAAUCUCAAGUUCAUGGCUGGAGUUGGUUCUGCUGUCAACUUAAAGGAGAUCAUGGACAACAUGAAUGGUAGGAACAACAAGAUAUAGAGAGGCUAAUGUGGGUGGGUGUGCAGAUAACUCCUCACCACAGCAAUAAUCCACUAAAAUAAAACAUAUAUAGAGUUGUGUUUGGCAGCAAGAGUAUAGCUGGUACUCAGCACAGAAAAGAAUAAGGAAACUUUCAUUGAUUUUGUGGCUCAGGACUUGACAUAUUUCUAUCAUCUGACAAAGAAAUUGAAGCUUAACAUAAUGAAGACAUAAACUUGGAUGGAACAUAAGCUAGAGAACUUUAAGUGUAAAAAAUGGUUGGAUAUAUUAGACAUUGUCUUUCUAGUGUUAGUUUCAUUAACAAGGUUAUGAAUUUGUUGCAUCAACAUCUAGCUAGGGAGACAAUGAACACAGAAAAUAGACUUAAUUGCACAUAUCUUACAAAAGUUGUAUUCUUCUAUGUCUUUGUGGCUUACAAUCUACUUUUCAUGGACUUUCAUCUUUUUUUUUUCUUCAUAUUUAAAAUUAUCAUAACAAAUAAAUUGAGGGAUGAAAGCUUAAUCUUGUCUCUAUAAAAUCCAAUAGCUAUCAAAAAAUGGCUUGAAUAUAAAUAUAUAUAACUAGCAUAUCCCAUAUAUGACACUUAAUAAAGGCUUUUGGAUGUUAAUUAGACUCCAAAUAGGACUCUAAUGGUCUCCUAAAGUUGCCUUAAAAAUUAGUGAUGAAGAUAUAUCUUAACCAAGAUGUCUCUUGGGCUUAAUUUGGAUCAUAGCUUAGACAUGAAUCUCUUGGGCUUAGGAAGUAAUAUUUUAGUUAUCUAUAUCAAAUAUAUAAAACAAAUCUUCAUUGCAAAUACACUAUUUUACUAAAAGAACUCUCCUAUAUUUUCAAUAUUUUUUAAUUAACUAUAAUGUUUGAAGGACUGACUUAUUAGGUGUAGUAAGUUGACUUGUGAAAGAAUGAAUUUGCAUCAAAGUAGUUCUCAUCCAUCAAGUUCAUCUUGUCCCCAUGAUGAUGAUCCAAAUCCUUGAGAAAUAUUUAUUAGGUAUAGUAACUUGAUACUGGCUUUGACUUAGAGAUACGACUUGAGACCUUAUUCAUACAAAUAAUUUAAACUGUAUCUAUGAGCUUUCCUUAUAAUUAAAUAGAAUAAAUAUCUUCUAAACCUAAGAUACUAGAAAAGUAAAUCUACUAAUGAUGAUGAUGAUUGUAGAUACCUCAAAGGUUAAAGGUUUAGACCAACCAUUAUGACUUGCAUCAAUCCUGCAAUGCAAGAAACUAUCAUGCAGUAAAAAAAAUCAUAUGGCGAAGCCCCUAACACUGCCUUGUUCAAUGAACUCAAACUUGUCUUUUAUACACAAAUUCUUGUAAUCUCUCUCUCUCUCUCUCUCUCUCUCUCUCUCUCGGGCAAUUUUAGGUGUCUCUAUUCUAAUGUCAAUUCAUGCAGGCUCACCACUACAUAUGGUAGACUAUUUCUCUGUUAUUAUUCUUAAGAAACAUGUCCACCAUAAUUGUUCUAAAGAAAUUUUCUUCUUCCAAGUAUCUCUCCAUAUCCAUCCAGCCAUGCCAAUCUGCCAAAAGUUAAGAAGCUUUCUUCACCGUCUCCUAUCAUGCUCAUUGCGUGCACUUUCGGCAAAAGCAAAAAGUGCAAAAGGAAGAUGAAGAAAAGGCUCUCUUUAUGUGACCAAAAAGAAGAACAAGGAUGAUUUCUUGAUGCAGUUUGAAGUCCUGAAGAAUUAUCUCCAUGAUUUAAGGAACAAUAGUCACUACUUUGUUCAGUAAAAUGUGAAUUAUCAUCCAAUUUAAGUUGUAUUUGGAUCAACAUUUUCACCUGAUAACUCAAAUAUCGACCCAUUCCCAUUUUUCUAGGGACAAUGAACCUAAUAUGUUUUAGUCAAUCGAAUUAUGCAAAUUGAUAUAAUAUUUCGAUUUUGUGAGAUAAUAUAUUCAUCAGUAUAUACAUUUCAAAUUUAUAUAAAAUUUUAUUUUAAAAUUUACUAGAAUUUUUUUUUCUUUUUAAAAUUAAUAGGAUUUUAAUAACAUUAAGCGGAAUUCAAUAUUCAAUAUUAAAAUCUCCACAAUAAUAACAAUUUUUAAUUUCAAUAUAUAUUUGUAAAUUUUUUGAUAAGUUAUGUUGAUGCUUAUCAGCUAAAUCUAAAAAUUUCUGAUGAAAUAAUUUUUUUUUGUAAUUAUAAAUAAGCACAAGUAAAAGAAAACAAAAGGAAAUAAUAUAUUAAAAUCCCAAUUGAUUGCUCCUCCGAAUCUAUUUCUACCCCUAACUUCCCGGGGAACGCGGGCCGGCGACUGGGACCCACAUGAAAAGCCUUCAUAGUACCAAUCACAAAGUAGGUUCGUCGAUGGGUAAUCGAUGAUGUGGUACAAAAUAUAUCUGCCGCCCGGGACACCCAGAACCACAUCCCACGUCUUCCAAGCCUAGCCAUGCCUGACACGUGUCAAACUCAGGAUAAGUCUUCCGAGGCGUUCCCUGGAAUCGACGGCCUGAUCUUACCGAUAGGAAAGCGCGGGACUUACGUGGACCUUCUCGCCGGGUCCCGCACAAUGGAACCUCUCCCGACCAAUUAAUUCAAAUUAAUUCGUUGUUUUAGCUUCCUAUGCCCUUUCUUCUGUGUUCCUCUUAUUUAAUGUAAGAUGCCGGCCCUUAACUCGCUCGCCUGCUUCCGACGGAGCGUAGAAGUCGUCGUCGAGUUCGAGGAGGAGAAGGGGAGGAAGAAGACUACUUUAUGGCUUGAUGAGCUUCAAUAGACUUGACCAUCCAAUGAUGGCGUCCGGUCGCCGCUCGAUGGGCUCGCUGUUGCGUCUCUUCCUUUUCUUCUCUUUCUUCUGCUCGUUGUUCGGCGGCGGAGCGCCCGACGAUCUCGCCUCCGACCGCGCCGCGCUCAUCGCCUUCUCCGCGGCCGUCUCCGGCGUCACUCGGCGGUGGAACGUCUCCGACCCCUCACCGUGCGCCUGGUACGGCGUCACCUGCGCCUCCAACCGCGUCACGGAACUCCGCCUCCCCGGUUCGUACCUCCUCGGUCGGAUCCCGUCCGGCACCCUCGCCAAUCUAACCGCGCUCCGCGCGCUCAGCCUCCGCUACAACCUCCUCUCCGGCAGCCUCCCACCGGACUUCGCCGCCCUCGCCAACCUCCGAUAUCUCUACCUGCAGAACAACCGCCUCUCCGGCGGUAUCCCCGCCGCCGUAUUCUCUCUCCGCGAGCUCGUCCGCCUGAACCUCGCGGGUAACUCCCUCGACGGAGGAAUCCCUGUGGCUUUCAACAACCUCACUGGCCUUUCGACGCUGCUCCUCGACCACAACCGGCUCUCCGGCGCGAUCCCCGACCUCCGGCUUCUGGGUCUCCUCCAGUUCAAUGUGUCCUUCAACCAGCUCAACGGGUCCAUCCCCGCAAGGCUCCGCGGUUUGCCCGCGAGCUCCUUCGAAGGAAACUCCCUCUGUGGUCGGCCCCUCGCCCCCUGUCUCGGCGAGGGUUCGCCCUCGCCGGCGCCGUCCCCGUGGAUCGCCAGCAACAAUGUCGAUAGCAGCGGGAAAAAGAAGCUCUCCGCCGGCGCGAUCGCGGGUAUCGCCAUUGGCUCCGCCAUCGGCUUCUUGGUUCUCGUCCUCCUCCUGGUCCUCUGCUGCCGAAAGCGGGAAAAGGACGAGGCUGGACCAAAGGCGGGGGAAAUGAUGCAGCCAGAGGCGGAGAUGGCUUUGAGGGGCAAGCGAGAGGCGGCGGAUAAUGUGGCUGGGCCACCUCAGGUGGCGGCCUUACCUGCGGCGGUGGCUGGAGGGGCGAGUGGGAGCGCUCGGAAGCUGGUGUUCAUCGGGAAGGUUCAGGGGAUAUACGACCUGGAUGACCUGCUGCGGGCAUCGGCGGAGGUGCUCGGGAAAGGGACGGCCGGGACGACAUACAAGGCGAUGCUGGAGAUGGGGAUGGUGGUAACAGUAAAGCGCCUCAGGGACGUCAACGUCCCUGAGAAGGAGUUCCGCGAGAGGAUGGAGGCCAUCGGCGCCAUGGACCACCCCAACUUGGUGGCCCUCCAAGCUUACUACCACAGCAAGGAUGAGAAGCUUUUGGUCCAUGAACUCGUGCCAAACGGAAGCCUCUCCUCCAUCCUUCACGGUGAGCCCUUUCUUCUUCCUGGGUAUUGCAUUGCAUGUCCUCGAACAGUGUCGGUGUUCCUUAUACCGAAUUCUUCUAAUGUGUUCGAAGAAUUGUCAAGCUAAGUACUCAUGCUCUCAAUUCAUCUUCCAUGGCAGGAAGUAAAGUAUCGGGUCGCACCCCUCUCGACUGGGAGACGAGGCUGGAGAUUGCUCUUGGAGCAGCACGGGGCAUCGAGUUCAUACACCUGCAGGGCUCUGGUCUCACUCAUGGCAACAUUAAGUCCUCCAACAUCAUUCUCUCGAAAUCGAACGAGGCUCGCGUCUCCGACUUCGGCUUGAGCAGCCUGGGCUCCACCCCGAUGCCCAAUCAACGCGCCGCCAGCUACCGCGCCCCGGAGGUCACGGACGUCCGGAAGGUCUCCCAAAAGGCCGAUGUUUACAGCUUCGGCGUGCUUCUCAUGGAGCUGCUCACAGGCAAGCCUCCGACGCAGGCGCUCCACAACGAAGACGGCGUCGACCUGCCCAGGUGGGUCCAAUCGGUCGUUAGGGAGAAAUGGAGCUCAGAGGUAUUUGACCAUGAACUGCUGAGGCAUCAGAACGUGGAGGAAAUGAUGCAGCUGCUGCAGCUGGCCAUUGACUGUGCCGUGCAGUUCCCAGAAAACCGGCCAUCGAUGUCGGAGGUUGUAGCUCGGAUCGAAGGGAUCCGCAGCAAUUCUAGCAUGACAAAUCAGCAGCAAGGGGGCACCGCCUUUGGCGAUUGAUCGAAUCAUCUGUUCCUAUCAUCUUCAAGGCAUCUUCUUCCAUGGAUGAACCAAAAUUGGAUUGUUUUUGUGUUUGUCCUGGGAGUAAGUCGAUGGUUAUUUUAUUUUCCUUCCAUUCCUUUUGAGUUGGAACUGUUCUUGUGGUUCUUCUUCAUCCUAAAUCUCCUGUUAUUAUUUACAUUUGUUAUUUUUUGGAGGGUUGUUUGAUGCUGAGAAUGAGUCCCUGUCCUUGAGGACUCUUCAUGUUGUUUCAUCUUGAGGUAAUUUAACUUUAUUGUAUGGUAGAAGUGAUGCUAGGAUUGAUGCUUCUUGAUCAUUGUUGUAAUUACAUUCUAUGUAUGUUUCAAUCAAAUAGUGGAAGAUUCUGUAGCCUCAUUACGGCUUUGCUAACCUCUCCAUUCUCAUAGGUUAACAGCUAACCAUUGAAGUAGUUUUCUUGUGGGGCUGCAUGAAAUUUCUGUACUUUGGUGACCACCAACUGUAUGUUAUCUUGUACUGUAUUAUAUGGACACCAAUAUAGCUGCCUUCAGUUCAGUGUUGACCAGACCAAAAUCUAUGUCACUAAUUCUCCAAGAUCUGCUGGCAUUUUGGUCAGCGUAGCAGCAGCAAGAACAAGGCUUCAUUCAAACUUAGAUGAAUCUUCUUCAGGUCUUCUACAGGUUUAGCAAAGUAAUACAGGAAUCAGGUCAGACUCUCUUCACUUGAGUUAGGUGGCUUCUGGUAAUCAGAUUUCUCCUCAUAAAACAACUCAAUUCAUGAGUGGGAGUUGAGAAUUUGGACAAAAGGUGACACUUUCUUGAGUUAAAUCUUCAACAAGGGUUUAUUGUUUAUGCUGCACUUGCAUUUCCAUUAUUUGGAAAGGUUGGUCAUACACAGCUAGCAUUGAGUUUUAUUAGAUAUAAUGAGUACUAGUUUAAAUUGAUUUCAUUAUAGAAUUAUUACAUUCUAAAUCAUUCUUAAUGCAUUUCCUUAUUGAAAUAGAAUCAUAAUAUUUAAUUUCUUUGCAUCUCAUUAUAUGUAUAUAGAGAUGGGCUCAUGUUUUCUUCUGGAAUUGGUACUGGAUAUUGGUGAAAUAAGUUUUUCCUUCUUUUAGUAGCAAUACAAAAUUCUAUGCAUCAGAAUUAAAGAAAGUUUAUGCAUCAUAAUUUGGUCAUAUCAUAAAAAGAAUUAUUAACAGCACCUCAAUAACUACAACAUCAUAAAAAUGAUUGUUGAUUGAAUAUUUGGCAAGAUAGAUGAGCAAAAUAUUCUUAUGAUUUAUUGAAUUAGAUGUGCUUUAUAAAUUGUGAUCUUUUUGCAGAGAGAUUAACAGUACAUCAAUUCUUGCAGUUCCUCCCUUUCUUUGCUGCCAUCACAUUUUUAAGGGAACACAGAAGAUAUCAUAUCACAAGAAACAGCCCAAAAAGAGUGAUUUGCAUGUUGCCAAUUCUUGCUCUAAAAUAUGAAAUCUGCAUUCAAACAGCUGCAAUAUGAGUCAUAAAGAAACCAUUUUUUAAUCUUGAAGAAUAUUUCAGGAAUAGAAAAAAGUUCAAAUUCCCAAACAAAAAAGUAGAGCAUUGUGGAGUUGACGAAGGUUGGUAGUGCACACCAUCUGUUCCAGUAGUUCACACAGAUGCAAACUGGAUGAAAUAAUAGCAAAAAAUAAUUUUUUUCUGUAAUUAAAAGAAUUAAAGUUCUUGAGCUGUUCCACUUGUUCCUCGGAGAGGCUGGCAAGCGUGACAUGACAUAUUCGAAGGGAAAUGUAGGACCAUAUCAUUAAUUAUUGAUGAUGAGAAGUUGUACUGUACAGCACGUAGGAAUUCUAUAUAGUUCUUAUGCAGUAGUUUCUUAGUCCUUUUCAUGCUUAACUCCAUUUUAUAUAACAUUUUCUAAGCCACUUAGUUUCUUUUGUCAACUCCUCCAAGCAAAGUUGUUCUUCCCAUAAGCUUGAUACUUUAUCAGCCCUAUUAAUUCAAUUUUUUUUCCCCCAUGACAUCCCUUCCCUCUGUUGAGAAUUUUAUUUUUGUAAAUCUCAAUUUUAUCCUUUUAUUUUAUUUUAUUUUUUAAAAUUUAAAAUCGAUUCGAAUUAAUGAACCCAAAGGCUUUCCUACUCUUUUGUGUGUCAUCUUUCUUAGCUGCUUUCAUUGUCUCCUCCUCAUUCUUUUCCUUAUUUUUCUUGUUUUAUUUCUCAUUAAGAAAAAAAGAGAUGGAGAAGUAAUGGCGGAACAAAAGAGUGAAAAAAGAAGAAAAAAGAGAGGAUCGAACUCUUAUAUUAAAUCUGAUUUAAUAUAAGAUCAUCGAGAGAUAAUGAGAGACAAGCACUAUUUUUAUUAUUCCGAAAGGAUAUCUUGAAUAAAUUAUUAAUAGAGGUGCAUCAUAAAAAUUAAUUAAUGAAGAUUUUAUGAUAAAUUACCCUUUUCCUUUUCCUCUAAUGACAAAGAUGACAAGUGAUGUUUCUCACAUUUUGCAUUUGGCAAAACUUCUUUAGCAUACAUGUAUAACAUAAAGCUAUGCAUCAAAGAAAUCAUAUAUAAACACUAAUUAUCCAUAAACUAGCAUAUAUUAUUUCUUUUGAGGUGAGUGGUCCACAAUAUCCCACCAACGAAAAUAUUCGUGUUCCCAACCUAGCAUAUAUUAUUUGAUUCAUUAUUCUUUUAGUUAAUAUAACGAAAAAGAAAGGAUCCAAAAUCAUAUAUAGCAAUUUCUCCCACUUAAUUCAUUGGAAACCUUUACCAGUAACUAUAACUUACAUACGAGGUUAUAUCUAAUGUCAUAUUAUACAAAUUGACACAUCUCAUGAGUUCAGUAAUGAUAUUGGUAUAUGUCAUGCUUCAUGAAGAACCAAAUUAAUACAGAUACUCUCAUGAAUAUGAGAUUUACAUUGGAUUAAUAAGUUGUUUGUCAAUAAUAGUCAAUAGAAAUCAAUAUGAAAUAAGUCUCGGGCAAGAUCGUAAGCUUUAGUCGGAGGGCUCGUCAAUGAUAGUCGAUAUCGUGGUGACUGGAUAAUUACAUAUUUCCUAUAUAGUUGGUUAUCUUUAAUGUUAUAGUCUCUAUACUUUAAAAAAUUAUAUUGACAUCCUAUAGUUCAAAAGUAAAAUAUCUAUGUCCAUUUAUUUUAAUAAUAUUAGUUUUACUAACGAAAACAUAAAAAUAAAGGAUAAAAAAAUAAUUUUAAUGUUCGAUGAUGAAUAAUGAUGACGUCAUUGGUGUUGAUGCUGGUGUCAGUGUUGACAGUAGAGUGGUAUGCGACGAGUGGCAAUGAGAUCGACAACAUGCUACUCGUGGUGGUGGGUGGUGUCACGAUGAGAGUAAACAUUAUCGUCGUCGGAGGUGGUCUAACAACCACGUUUGCGUUGAUACCGGUGACAUUGUCGUUUGCUACCAAAUAUUAAAAAUAUAUUUUUAUCUUUUAUUUUAAUAUUUUUAUUUAUAAAACUAAUGUCUCUAGGAUAAAUAAAUUUAGAUAUUUUAUUUUUUUUAAUUAUAGGAAUGUCAAUGUAAUUUUUUAAAAUAUAAUGAGAUAGCUAAAUAUAAAAUGUAAUAUGUAAUUAGCCCCAUGGUAACCUUGGACUGCUCCGGGGACUUCAGGAUCAUCUUGGAGGUUGUGGCAGCUUCUGCCCACCAUCGAGACGGUGACUCGAGGUCGUGAUCUAUUUGAAGGCUAACGUUUGUAGUGAGACUGUGGAGACCAACAGGUCGACAGCGAACCUGAUGCUACUUGGCGACGGAAGAGAUGCCACCGUCGUGACCGGCAGCAAGAAUGUGCACGACGGCAUCACAACAACCCUCAGGUCUGCAACCUUCGGUAAGUCACCUACGUUUCUCUUGUCACCACUGAGGCUAAUUCUACGUAAACGGAGGAUUUCAUGCAACUCCUCCAUGAACUUCGAAUCAAGUCACCACUUUUGGUGUUAGAGAUGGAAUUGGAGUACUGUUGAUACUUUUCUUUCGGCUGUAAUCUUGGUGUUGACUGUAGAGUCCACUAACAUGUUUUUGAGACAAAAUAAGAUGGUUGAGGUUAGUCCAUCAAAUCAUGCACAUGGUUGGCAUUGUUUGAAUGACUUCUCCAGCCUCUCCAAUCACUACGACGUCCCCAUGCAAGCAUUCAUCUUUGACUGCCUCGUUCUCGAUCUCCUCCGCCUUGUGCUUGCAGUCAUCACCGGCAACGUCAUGACGUUCGAGAACACAGCCGGACCGGAGAAAAACCAAGCCAAGGGCUACCAAGCCACAGUCAUCUACCGCUGCGGAUUCAAGGGCUACCAAGGCACUCACUAUGUGCACUCGCAGCGGCAGCUCAUCUACGGCACCGUCGACUUCAUCUUCGGCGACGCGGUAGCCGCUCUCCAGAGCUGCAACAUCUUCGUCCGUGAUCGUGCAGGGACGGGCCGACCCCAACACAAUAACACGGGCAUAUCGAUCCACUGCUGCAUCGUCGUCAUCCCCGCCGUCGACCUCAAACCGGUGCAGGAACGCCUUCAAGACCUACCUCGGCCAUGGCGGAAGUAUUCGAGGACCGUCUUCAUGAAGACGUCGUUGAGCAGCCUGGCUGAUCCGCCGGGUGGCUCCAGUGGAACGGAAGCUUUGCACUGAACACACUACAACUACGGGGAGCAUAUGAACACAGGCACCGGUGCCGACACCAGCAACAGUGUGAAGUGGCCACGGUAUCACGUUAUAAGGAGAGCGUCGGACGCUUGGGAGCUCACUGUCGGCAACUUCUUGGGCGGUGACGAAUGGAUUCCGGUCACUGGGAUCCUGCUCUUUGACAAUAAUCUUGGAGAAGGCUAGUAAACGUUGCUUAAUGUCGUGGGACUAAUUAAUAUCACUCAAAAUUACCAUAUAUCUUGAUUGGACAUUAAUAAUUUAAGCUAUCAUAUCAUGAACAUCUAAUAUAUAUGUUGAAGAUGUAAUAUACUCACAUAAAUCAUAGUUAUGAGAAACGAGCCACUCAUUGACUUGAACUAAACCUCGAGUCACUGGUUCAACCAAUUGCUCAAUCAGCAAAGUCACAUGUUUCAUUAAUUAAAAAAACAAAUUAUAAAUAACAUAAUAGAAAUAUUUAAAACAAUAUUGAACACAAAAAACUAUGGAAAAUUUGGACAACCUUAAUCACUAAAAAACAUACAAAGUAGAUAGAAAAAGUAAAACAUAAAGAUUGUUAUGCCUAACAAUAUAAAAAUACCAAUAUUCAAGAACGAGAAUAUUAACUAAUAAGGUUAAACAAACAUUGACUUUCAAUUAUCAACUAAUUAAUUUAAAACUAACUAGACACUUCUUAUGACUUAUUAAAUGAAAUAAAUUCUUAAGAACUUUUUAAGUAUUAACUGCAAACAUGCAUCCAGAAUACAUAAUGUAUGUAGAAUGUAGUCAAUGAAGAGUAGAUUAUACAUCAGAUGCAACAAGAUCACAAACAAAACUCAAAUUGAGAUUAUCCAUUGCAUGCAGCAAGUUCAACAAAAGUCAACUUGAAGAGGCAAAAAAUAAAUGCAUGAAAGCAAUUUUAUACCCUAGAAUUUAACCUCUAAAUAACUAAAAGAGCAAACCUGAAAUCAACUCACAAAUGUCCAAAACAAUCCUGUGAAAUAUCUUAGCUAAUAGAUGAGGAUCCAAACUUCCAAAGGUUGUAGAUGAAAUGAAGAAUCAUUCAGAAACGAGAAACGAUAUUAGUGUUGACAACAUCAAAACACCCCAAAUGAUCACACUCAUCUUCACCAAAGUGCUUCUUAUACUUAGAGCAGGAAAAACUCCUAGAAAGUAUUUUCUUGUUACCUAUGAUUUCUCAAUCCAAUCCAAGUCUAAAAGUGGCAUCGGUGUUACAGUUGUGGGUCUGAUCAUAAACCAGAUGUCAAGAUACUUCCAAUAAAUCACACAACAGUAAACAUCAAUUGAAAAAUGCUACAUAAAACAGAAGGAAUUAAGUCAAUUAUAACAGGAAUCAUAUUUAAAAUCUCUUCCAAUCUCUGGAACAAAACCAAAAUUAGAAAAAAAAAAAAACACACACACACACAAUUACUAUACCUCUGUUCUUUUCUCGUCAUCUUGUUUUUGUGUUCUUUGCCCAUACUUUGUUCUCUCCUUUUGGCCAUGAGAUUAGGGCAACAACGACUGAAGAAAGAAGCCAAUGAAGAUCUGAACCCACCCCAUUGUAUCCAUUUCUCAUGGACAGCAGAAGUGGGUUUGGUUCGACAUAUUGUACUCUCAUUGAGGGUGUUCCAGUUAUAUUAUGCUUUGUAAUAAAAUUGGACCGGCCUUCCUUGACAUAGCCUGUUCAUGCGAGUUCAUGGUAUACUGAAUCAACUCAAAGCCAUUUUUAAGAAAAGACAGUCUGAUAAGUAGUUUGGACUGGUCAGCAGUCCCAUUACCCCUUUUUUCGGUCAGAUAACUGGUCUAAUCCGAUUUUUGACAACCAUGGUCUAAAUACUCUGAUGCGUGCAAAACAAGUGACAUUAAACAUGAUCCAUGCAUUAGAAUGCAAAGAUCUCUUUUAUUCUGUGGAGUGUUUGAUUACAAAAAGGACAAGCUUGAAAUUUGUAACAGUACAUCCAUCCACCACAGGUGAAUGUUGAUAAGCUUUAAUGAUGCUUCAAUAAUGACUGUCAAAGGACAAAAACUGAUGAACUACUUGUAUACUGUUUGUGGCAAUAAAGAGGCCAUUACUUAGCCCCUUGCUUUGCUGUUCAGUACGUCCUUGUACACAGGAAGAAUCUAAUAACUACUUGAAACAGAAGGUGUAGUUGUGGAAUGAAUGCAAUAACUUGUAGAUGAUACCAAUGAAAAUUCCAAAAAGAUGAUAUCAGUGAAAAUUCCAAAACAUUUAGACAAUGGAAUAUUGAGAAUGAUUUCAUAACAACCGUUGUAACAAACAGAAGCCAACUCUAUAUAAUUUUUUAACUUUGGGUGUUAUCACAACUAGAAAUGCUUCAAAUUUGGGUAUGCAGCUACUCAUCCCAAAGUCAAACAUUUCUUCUGGUUACUGUGGUUGGAUAAAUUGCACAGACAAGGUUGAAAAAUAAAAGAACUAUAUAUUACAGAUGAUUGGGACAUCCUUCUGAUGAUUGAGAUUACUUUUUCUUCAUUUGUCCUUUCACAAAAGUAUGCUGUCAGAUGCUGUUCAGCAACAAAAGAUGGUUAGUGCUAUCCUGAGUACUACCAUCUGGAAAAACUUGUCAAAAUAAAAGCUUUUAUAAUCUCCCAUGAACAUGAAAGAUGAACCAGCAGAAGCUAAAACAAUUGACGGACGAAAAGCCAUUAAGCACAUUCGAUCAAAGUGAAGACUACAUAACCGAUAUACUCUCACCAAAAUCUAUAAACAAAAUAGAACAGGUAUGGGUUCUAAAGAAUGCAUAUAUAUACCUGAUGGCCUUUCUGAAUAAACCAACAUAAACCUUGCAUAUCCUAAGAGGCAUAUGACUGAAGAAAUCAAACUUGACUGUGAAAGUACCCAUUCAGAAAGGAUGGUUAUGAACACACUGUUUUUGGUGUCUUCUUUGAGAGUUGAGAUACUGGUAUUUGGACAAGCCACCAAAAGCAACUAUUUCCUAUUUAAGAGAUUUAAAUUUUGGAAGACAUCAAAGAAAAAGUUAAGUAGUCAAACUAUGAACUCGAUACCUUUAAUUUUUACUGGUUUUUUAUGUUCUUUGGUCUGCCGAAACUGAACUAAACAGAUGUUGAUGAAGAAAAAACAAAACUGUGCUAAAAAUAGCACUAAUUAUGAUUCGAGAAUAAAAAUUCACCGAGCUAUAAAGUCUGGGGUAUAAGUAACCAUUUGUAAUCUGUAAUCAUCCUUAAAGCUGAAGUCAAUAAUUCAUCAUGUUCAAUUGACCUAUGUGAUAGUUUAUUUCACAUUGGGACUCAAGUAAUGCAACAUAUGGUCCUGGACUGAUGCAUUAAAUUGUCCAAACGAGUGCCAAUCAAGGUUCGCAAUUUCGGUCUAUAUCAGUGUAUCGAGCCUUGGUCUAUACGGUAUGUACCGAGGCAUACCGAUGGUACGCCAGGGCGUACUAAGCGGUAUGCCUAAAAUAAUUGAAAACACUAAUACAUAUUGUAUUAGUGUUUUUAACUAUUUUAGCCUAAAAGGUCGGUAACGGUUGAAAUCGACCAGUACCACUCGGUACAGAUUGGUAACAGUUGAAAUUCUAACAGUUACUACCCGAUACAGCCCCGUAUCGCUCGAUGCGGGGCCAAAAAUUUGGUACCACCCGAUAGUGAGCGGUCCGUGUGUUGAGAGAAUCUUGGUCCGGUAUGUACCGCCCGUACCAGGCGGUACACUUCGAAAUAAAAAACCAUGGUUUCAAUUACCAAUGACUUGGGCAUGAGGCUAGCUCGUAUUUGGUCCUCAAAUAAUACUGAUGUUGUAGAUCUCACCAGGUCCUCAAAACCUAGAUUAAAAAGUAUUACAGUGCGAUUUGAGACCCAGAAUUUUGCAACCAGAAAUAGAACCCCAUAUUUCUUCCAAGAAUCUCCUAGUUAUACUAAAGCAACUAGAAUAAGAAUAUCCAACCUACUAGGGUAGAAAGAAAAAAAAGCAAAUUUUACAUAAAAGUUGAUGAACAAGGAAAAGUUCCAGAAUACCACUUUGAAAAACAAAAACAAAAAAGCCACAAGUGACUUAAUCCAUAUGUCCAAUUCUUGGCAGUAAAAAAAAAUCCAAAGCAGAUAUCAUUUUCCAGCUCUAAAUGUUCAGUCUUAUGUCCUCUAUUUUUUUAAUUGCCUAUGAGAGUUAACUCAUCUUUAAAUCGAAAAUAGUGAAAAGCUUUUGUUUAUUUUAAAAAAUUUAAGGUGUUUGACUCUUCAAAAGGUUUCUUAGAUUUUUGCGUUUCCGGCACAUGGAGUGAAUAUAACCUGUGAGAGAGGCUUCAAUCCUACAUUGCUAAACCAACUAACCUUCUAUUUAUUUAUAUGCCAUUUUUUAUCACUGUCACAUAUAGCUUUCAAGUGUUGUGGACUGAACACGACAUGCAUCCAUGUGCUCCUAGCCUCAGUGCACCAUGUAAGAAUUGCAAAGCCAUACAAUCUGCUUUCUCUUGCCCCUGUUUUCCAUGACCUAUUCUCCAAAUCCAGAUGACUAUACUCCUCUGUUCCUCUUCUAACUGCCUAUUCACCAAAUCUAGGCUUAGGUGACUAGUCUCCUCUUUUCUUCCUCUUCUGUUUUACACCACCUGUUCUCACAAUCUAGGCUACUAGUUGAUUGUAACUUUUAUUUAUUUUCCUCUUCUAUUUUUCCACCACCUAUUCUCCCAGUCUAGCAGUAAAUUACUAGGCAAGAAGUACUUUUUUCUAAGUGCAAAAAAAUGUAGCCAAAAUAUUUUGAAGUCACCAUGGACUCAUGGAGAAGGCCGUAUUGGCAUCAUAUUUAGAAAGGAGUCACCAUGGACCCUUCUGUGACUGAAAUCCUCUCUAAAGAUGCACUGUUGAUGUGUACAGUUAAAUAACAUCUUCUAAUCUCACUUUAUAUCACCAUGAACCCUUCUGCGACCAAAAUCCUCUCUAAGGAUGCACUGUUGAUGUGUUCAGUUAAAUAACAUCUUCUAAUCUGACUUUGCAUCCAAUGGCUAGUUUACAAUCAGCUGCUCUGUUUAUAUCCAACAGCAACCUUCCUCUAUUUUUGUUAAUCUCAAUAGUGCACUAAGUUUUCAAAAGAGAGGUCAUAAGGUUUCUUAGGUUAGGAUCACAAAAAGCUUAGAAUUAUUUUUAUUAACUUUUUUUGGCCAAUCACUACAUAUCUAAACAAAUGGCAUAAAUAGAUCAGAUAGGUGCAAUAAGAAAUUAAGUUUGAAAAUAAUUUUUUUUUUAUGACAAAUGAAGCAGGAAAGAUAUUUCAACAUCCAUCAAGUUGUUUGGCUUACAAGCACCAAAAUUUAUACUGGAAAUUCUUAAUUAUAGUGCAUGAGUAGUAGCAUAGCAUGAGUUUGGCAGCUGCUUACAAGGAAAAGCAAGUCAAAAUGGAUAAUAAGGUCAUUCUAAUAAAAGGCAAAAUGGUGAUCAUAAAGAAAUAACUAAUAAGGUUACAAAAUGUACUUAUUCAACAUAACAGACACAAAUAAAAACAUAACCAUCAAUGAAGGCAAAAGAAAAAAAAAAAAGUUUAUGCACUAGGUUUCCCAUAAAACUUUAAUAGGGACAUACUUAGCAGAUGCCUUAUCUUAUCUUGUGAAAUUAAAAUGUAAACUAAACUACUAAACACUAAUGAAAAUGAUAUGGGACAAAGCAUAUAAUCAAAAUUCCCUAAUCAUGUGCAGAGAACCUUGUACAAAGCCCAAUCGCAGGAAAAAGAACUUGAUGCCAACUACAAAUAAUUGGAAUAUUAGAGCUUGUUGUUGACCAUGGCACCAUUCAAGGGUUGGAUAAACAAGACUGACAACAAGACACCAAAUUAAAGGGCCAUUUCUUUGGUAGGGAACGUGUUCUGGAGUUCAUAUAUGAGAGCUUGUAUUAAUUAGGAUUGGAAUUAAACAAAACUGAAACUGAGAGCUCAGCAGGAUAGAUCGACAAGAUAGAUCACCAAUGCAUGAAACAAUUCAGAGAAUAUAUAAUUGGAAUGGCUUAAUUACUAAUGACUGGUGGAGGUUGAGUUAAAAAGAGCAGAGGAAUCAAACUAAUGUAGGAUAUUCAAUUGUUUGUUUCUUGAAAAAACUGAGCAGUACGGAUUUUGAACCUAUAACAUGAAACGAUGUAAAAAGGCCCUGAUAAUACAAUAUGUAAUACGAGAAAGUAACCUAGUUAGAGAAGUAAUACACUUCCAGCAGAGAAUAACUUACAAGUGCAAGAUUGAUCUGCUAAAAUUCCUCCACUUCAAUUGAGAAUCCACAUGAACAUCGCUUGGUCCACACUAACGUUUUUUCAUCAAAGCUCUGGUUCUCCACAGGAUAUACAUGUUCAUGGUCAUGAUCGGAUGGAAAAACAGGUUUUAAUUCUUGACUAGAACCAUCGCGAAAAUCUGAGGCUGAGGGCAUGUUGCCAUAAGGACUAUUUUCUUGAGAAACAUUUCUAUUACUCUUUUGAUCAUUGCUAACAGUCUCAUGUGUGGAUGAUGAGUCCACAUAUGAGUUCUUCAAAUGUUGUCUCGUAAUAAUGGAGGAAAGCAGCUGGAACCACCUUGAAAGGGCAUGGUUCUCAUUCCUCUUUCUCUCUUCAGAUUCUCUCCUUUCUUCUUCUUCUGCAUAUGCCUAUUUAAAAUGAAGAUUCCAACAGAAAAUAUUGGUAUAUCAGUCAGAAUAAACAUCUAGAUGUGAACAUAUUGCAGCAAGCAGUCGGUUGCUGCAAUAUUAUCCACGUGAAUGCAAGGAAAGCCAACAAGACAUCUUCUGAAAGGACAAAAAAGGCAUGAAUGUACCAAUGAAUAAGGAGUAAAUUACCACAUAUUGCAAAAGUUUUAUAAUAUGAAGAGAUACUAUGUAAAGUUUCUCUAUGUAAUUUUAAAGCAGAAUAACAGUCAUUCACAUAACAAAAUUCAUAAAAAUACUUCGAGUCCAAAUACAAACAAAUAAGGUUAUCACAUAAUAGUAAUUCAAAAUCCAAAAUUUGUGUUUCUUUUAAUCAACAUCUCUAUAAGUUUCAAGGUGCCCUAAGCUGCCCACUAUCAGUCAGAACGAGUAUCAAAGUGCAACACAUAUGCCUUCAUUUGUUUCAAGUAUCUGAUGUGAGUCAGCAAGAGUUUAGCAAGUUUUGUUAACAAGACAUGACAAGAUUUUGAAGCAGAUGCUAGUUCUUUGAGAGGUCCUUCCUACUUCUUUCUAGUGAUGCACUAACAUCAGACGUACAUAAUGUGGCCAUGAGGUCCUUAAUCUUAUUGCACUUGUAGUCUGCCAACCGUCUGUACUGGUUCUUCAAUAUUUAAAAAGGUAAAUUAAGUAAACAAUAAACAGACAACUGCUAGAAUGCAGUACUUUAUGCCUUUGACCACUUUGAGACAGUUACAUGAUACAAUAAUCAGUCAAGGUGCUCUGAUCAAAAUAUCAAAUAACAUGGGUCAGAGUUGGCAAAUCACAUGUAACUUGCUCUUUAUUAAACUCAAUAACAAAAAACUGUUAUAAAAUUAUAAAGUUACAAGAGUCAUCAACAUUGUGAGCAAUGACGUCCGGAGAGGUCUGCUCCUUAAAAACAUGUACGUUAGGAUAUGUAGUCUAGAAUUGGGAUUGUGGUAACUGCAGAUUGUAGAACCAAAGAAAAGUUUUAAAAUUAAACUAAGAACCGGAAGCAGAUGAACCUGAUAAAGCUUACCUCCAAGAUAGCACCUUUGAACUCACUACAAACCACAAUCCCAUCAAAUGUAGGAAUGCAGCGGCCAUUUCGAAAAUCAAAUCCAACCAUAGCAGGUGCAAAAUCAAUUUCCAGUCUCUUUGCAACUGGAACCAAUCUGGGUAACCUCAAGUGCGUAGUACCAGGUGGGAGACAUUUCUCAGACCAUACUUCCACUUGACCACGCUCAUUCUAUAUAGAUAUUCAUGAAAAAAAUGAGUCAGUAAUUACCUAAGACAUCGACCAAAUAUUUAACCAAAAAUAUUCAGGGCAGUAAGAUGGAUAGUAUAGCUGUAUACUGCAUAUCUAGAAAGAAGUACUAGAAAACCAUAGAAUAAGUAAACAACGAUGAAUCUUAGUUGACGUCACAAACAAGAUGUCUUCCGAAGACAUCUUGUAUUACAUAAAUAGAUUUGAAAUGACAGAAUGAUUGAUACAUCAGUGUGAGCAUAUUGAAAGUUCUUUACAAAGUGACGAACUAAAAGUAGAAAAAUAUAAAGCAUAGCGUUACUAAUUAAUCAAAUUAGAAAUUCAGAAACAAAUUUCACCACGAUGACUGAUAAUAGCAAUAAGCCUAAUCAGCUAAAACAACAGUCUCAUUGUUGCUACAGAGAUUAGUAAUAAAGACUAAAAAAAUGCGCAUCUGAAGUUUAAAUUAUGCCUAAUCCGCAUUAUAGACAUGAGUGCAACAUCAUAUAAGGCACAAGACUUCUGACUAUAAACUUGGUUUCCAAAUAAUUAAUGUUUAUCCUAAUUGCAGAAGCAACUCCAUGUACCCAAUGAAUUUAUGACGACUAAAAAACCAGAAGAGAGAAACACAAACAAGGUCACUUUUAAGCCAAGGGAUAAGGAAAAAGAAACUAUGAUUUUUUUUUAGUAGAAAGUGAAGUAUACUAUCACCUUUGGCACAAUCCCAUUUACAGCAUGGGGGAGUUGUAGUGGUUCCAAUUGCCACUUCCCAAAAAGUUCUACAGAAGGUUUGCCAUAAUCCUCUUUGGGAACAUCUACUUCAGAUGUCUGUCCACUGACAAAAUAUCUUGAACGUUUCACUACCUGGAAAAGAAGAAAAAAAAAAAGGUUUACAUAAAAGAAAGGCAGCUGGAUCAUAAUCAUGUUGAUAGUUUACACUUUACACCUUUGCUGGCAUUUCACUAGCUCUAACUUGCAAGCCCUCCCGUAACCACUUUUGCUUCGUUUGUAGGUUCUGGACACAAGACCGAGGAUAUACAGGAUGACCUGAACAAUAACCAAGUAUUGGACCUUUUGGAUAUAGGACUUGAUACUUCAUCAACCACUUUUCAAUAGCAUAAAGAUGGUGAUUUUUAUAGGCCUACAUUGCAUAACAAUGCAUUAGGAAAAAGUUAUCUUCACACAAAAAUCACCAAGUUAUUACUUGUAAGUUUCUCAUGUAGUUACCAAUUGAUUCGUAGGAAGAGGUUCAGUUAAAGCCCUAGUUGCAAGUUCCAUAUCUUCAAGAGAGUCCCUUGAUUCAAUCCAAAGGCAGUUAGGUAAAGCUUCAAGAUCCAGUGACUUGGUAAGAUUGGACACUUUCUUACCCAAUCCAUCAGCAUCAAAUGGACUUUCUAGGGGCCUCUGAGAGGUAACCUGAUUAUCUCUGAAAUUCAUUUCAACAGAACUGAUCACUUUCUUCUCUCGAUCAGAGGGAGCCUUUCCAUGCAAUUCCUCCAAUUGAACCACACUUCCAGCUGUAGCUGAUUCGAACUUCUUUAGCGGUGCCAAUACUGCUUCCCACCACUGUGCAUUUAUUCUUUUGGAAGCAAUUUUGUACCAGUGCAUGCAAUACCUGAAAAACAGUUAAGUGGAUUUCAUGAUCUAUAAGAAGCACAUUCUUUCAAGUUUCAACUUCUUGUAAAAUACUGGGUAGUUGUUUAAAAACGGGAUUUCUCAAAAUUGAUUUCUUUUAUAUACUGGUAAUAGAGACUGGCCUCACCAUGCUAUUUUCUAAGUAUCCCACAAGUCCUUGAGAGGCAUCAAGAAGCUUCACAGAUAAAGGUAUAUACGAAAAAGGGUAAUUCUUUCUCACAGUCCAACAAAAUAUCCAAUCAAGUUUCAACCCCACAAAUCCAUGCCAUAUAACCACAAUUGAGAGCAGUUACCUAAAGCAGUUCUAGCAGAUGUAUGCAGGCUAAGAAUAAAGUGUUAUAUCUAUAAAUAGAGAAAUUGUUUCCAUGAGUAAAACCUGGUCACCCACUUUGCGAAGGACCAACAUUACCCCUAUAAAUAUGAUUAUGUAAAAUUUAAAUAAUAAUACAUUUUUACCAUUUUCAACAUUUUAUUUUAUUUAAAUUAGUGGUUCAAGUGUCCUGGCUUGUAUUAAGUUAAAUAACUACUUGUUAUUAGUGUAGAUGGUCUUGUAUCGAUAUAUAGACUCUAUAUUAUUAAGCAUCCGAUACACUAUUCAAAACUAGUUGCAGUACAAUAUUGAAUGGGUAUUGUGUUCCAUGUGAAUGGUAGUUUAGCUGCUUUAGCCCCCCUCUCUUUCUUCUCACUCUUAUCCUAUUUUUUCCAGCAGUAUUAAUGAGUAUUCUUCACUGGAAAAAACCUAAUAUCUCUUCUUUCUUUUAUUAUUUCUCUUUCAAUGAUUAUAAAUACCAAAGUUCCUCUCCCAGCAGCAAAGCAUAGCAGUUGGGAUUUUUUGGUUGUUCCUUGUACAGAUUUCAAUCUAAUAAUUUGUAUGCAAACUUAUCACAGGCUUGUGAGGCAUUAUAAACAUACACAAGUGACAUAAGUCAUUAGGUUGCAACAUGAUCCUGAGUGGCAAAGGCCCAUAUCAACAGUAGCUUUACAAUCACAGAGAAAGAAAUCAAGGUGACAUAAAAUAAUAUAAAUCUCAAACAAAUUUAUCACAAGCUUGUGAGACAUUAAAAACAAACACAAGAGACAAAUGUAUUGAAUUAAGGUGGUUGCACUAUGAUAUUGAGACCCGAGCACCUCAAUGUGCUUUAUCGAGGCACCUUCAACUUACUGUUGCUCAGAUGAGAAUGUCAUCUUCAGCAGAUGGGCUAACCAAGAUGAACCAUUUGGGCGCUGGGCAUCCCAGGCACUUGUCUGAGCUACCAUGAGCUUAAUCAACUCAACAUUGUCAGUCUAAAGCCCCAUGAGAAUGGUUCAACAUGCAAGUGUUAAGAAUGUGUGAAACAUGACCUAGGUGUAGGCAUGCAAACUCAUGAGCACAUGACUCGGCUGACCAAGGUGCAAGCAGACAACCAUUUACCAGCUUGAACCUGAACUAAUCGCAUUGACCAGCACGGCACCCAUAUGGAUCUAUACAAAAGCCACCUGGUCAGUACCAGUCAGCAAGCAUCCACUUCAUUCCAAAGGAUACCCUUCAGCUCAUACCAAGAACAUGGCUAUAAUCCACGAAUGGGAUAUACAACCAUUUUUGCCAAGUGUUCAGUUUGUUAUUGAAUAAACCAAUUAGUUGCAACAAGUAAUGGCAUUGUGGCAUCAUCAAUCUGCUUAAUUCACUGCCUAAAAUGAGUGCCUAUUUGGUGCAUUCUUUGUUCAUGAAUGAGUGAUAAUACAACUGUUCUUGGCUCAUAGCAAGAGGAAACAAGAGAAAGGAAAAAGAAGGCAAUCAGAAAAAUCAAGCGAUUGACUGGAAAUCUAAACAAUAUCUCUGUAGGAAACCAAGUAAUACAGUUAAUUUCAAAGAAACAAAUUUCUUGAAUUGAACUUUUUGCUUUUCUCAACCUUAAUAAUAGUAUGAAGAUUGACUAGAUAUAUAUGUAUUUUGAGUUGUAUAAUCAUAUUUAUCUAAGAAAGGUCCAUUUUAGGAUAGAAAUAGUGAAGGUCAUACCUGCGUGACACAUCUUUAGCACCAUUUCCAGCAAAAGCAACAACAUAUCUCAAUGGUCUUCUACAAGCAGCAGCUGCAGCUUCUACCCUUUCUGCACCAUCAACUAUAGCAUUUGCAGCAUCAACAUGCACCCAUCUUCCUGUUAAAGUCUCUCCGCAGCAGUAGACUUCUGCCCAGUACAAAGGAGGCCCAGUCCUUCUAGACCAAACUGCACCAGAGCUACCAUGCAUUGAAACUGAGGAAUCUACAGCACUUCUUAGUGUUGGUUUUUUCACAGAAGAAGCUAGUCUUGCCGAAGAUACAGGUGACUCAUCAAUCUCAGAAUGUAAUUUGUUAUCUGCAACAGCUGCAGUGGUUGCUGAAAUGGCCAUUUCCAUCUCCAACAUGAACUCCAUAUCCCCUUUUCUUUUUGAUUUUGUGUCCUGACAAUUAAACUUGUUAUUGCACAUUCCAAUGGUUGAUGUAUAACUGACUGGAUCAUUAGAAGAACAAGCAGCUGCAGAAACCUCAGGCAAAUUCUCCUUGCAACCUGAACCUUGCUGCUCCUCAUCAAACUUAUCCUUACCAGAUAUUUCCAAGUUUUCAUUAUUCUUAUUCAGUAAAUGAACACCAGUUAUUUUACUAACUGGACUAGGUGCCAAGACCGAAGUUGAAGGAGAGAAUAUUCUCAUAUCCAUGCUUGCUCCAUCUUGCUUUGUGGUUCCAGUUAUAUCAGCAUCUGGCUUGAGAGAAGCCACAUCAAGAAUAGACACGAACCUGAAGCAAAGCAUUUCCUUUAGUAACUGAUGGAAAGUGCUUAAAAGAAAUAAAGAGGUUGCAUUAUAAUAAUCAAGUGCAUCUAACAUUAUCUGUCAUGGAUAGAAAGCUUGUCCUGCACAGAAAGCUUCUCUAAGUCAACAACAAGAAUCCAUUGAAGAUGCAUCAAAUUCCCAACUUCAUCUUCUGAUAUCAGUUAAGCUUCUCUAGCCUAACUGCAACAACCAAAACUGUAUACUAUCUAAAGUCAAUAGACAAUAUCAUGUAUCUGCAUGUUGACCCAUACUCCUUGAUAUGAGUGGUACGUGUCAAUUGGAUGAGAUAUUGAAACACAAAACCAACCAGAGUCGGUUGUCUACCUCAUAUCAAAGUAGAUUGUGGCAUGCCAAUAAAUACAGAUCAUUACAAAUCGGCACAAGUUUAAUUUAGAACAGGAUUUGUAUGAUAUAGGCCGAGACCAACUGGCAUGACUUGGUAUAGGUCUGUGAACUGUUCAAGCUUAGCCAGUCCAAGAUCUUAUUCACUUGCAUGCAACUACCAACAGGUUUGUGCUAUAACAGUAUUAACAAUAUUACCAAACAUAAACCUCGGUUCUAUAAGAAUCUUUAACAAAAUCUCAGAAUUCAUUUUCCAAUGCCUUAAACAAUAUGAUCAUUAGAACUUUGCAAUUAAAACAAACCUAAGUGGAAUAAAAAAUGACAAGAAGAAGCCGCUACACAACAACUCCCAGCAAUCUGAGCAUCUUAGUCUACGAAAAGCUAGGUGUCUUAGUUUGACUUAGUCUAGAUUAGUCUAUUUUCAUUUUUCAGGAAUUGUUGGAAAGUUUUUUUAUCAAUAAUUAGUUGUGUUCUUGUAAGACAUUAUUAUUUUUUGGGACUUACUUUUGUUUGAUUGAUAGAAGUCUUAUCUUCUAAAGCAAGGUUCGCAAUAUCGUACCGUACCAAUAUUUCGAUCUGGGCUCGGUACCGGUACGGUACAAUGUACCGAGCGGUACACCCAGGUGUACCGAGCACUAUAGCAGUGCAAUGUACAGUACUACAGUGCACCAAUACACUGUAGCACUGUGCACUGUACUGCUACAGUGCGGACUGGUACCGGGUGAUCCACAAAUAUAUCUAUAACUCUUAACCAAGAUUCCAAUCUAAUCAUAUCAUCUUUUCAAGUGAAUGUAUAAUAAAAACCAAAAUAAUAAUAUAAGGCAAGGAUUUUAAUUUUGGCUAGCAAACCCGUAGUGAUCCUGCUCGGGACCACUACAGAUCCCAUACCAGCAUACCAUGUUUCAAUACAUUGGUACACACCAAGUUUCGAAAAAAGCCUGAACAAUUUAUUGCCCCAGGCCCCCAAGUCCCUUUAACGAGCAUACCGGGUGGGACAAGUCUUGUAAGGAGCAAUACAAGACUAGUACUAGGUGUACCACUUGUUUACCAUGUUUUUAUGUUGGUAGGUUGUCGGACCAAUAAAGACACCCAUACCAAACCAUAUUGACCGUUAUUGCAAAUUUUUUAUAUAAGACUCAUCCUACAUUUAUUAAACAUUUAAAAAUUAUUAAAAUACUCCUAAAUUCAUCAAUAAAAAUUCUAACCUGCUUUCACAAACUAAAAACUUGAAUUCGCUUGGAUUGGAAUGCAUCAAUCAUCUUUCUGCUGCACUAAACUUAUCCUCAAAGUCUCGUAAUGAAGGUACACUAGUUUUUAUCUUUAAUUUUUUUCUUGGAUUCAUAUUUAGCAUUGAUCCUGCUUUAUAUUUCUGCAAUCAUUUGAAAUCAUACUGUUUUGUUGGUUUCAAAUAUUGGGGCAUGACAUAAAGGUAAAAGACCACAAAUGAAUUUCAAGGUAAGAAGUAGGCAUCUCAAAGGUUUCAAACUUGCUUUGUUAAGAGAACAUCUAAAAUAGAGUAACAAUGUCAUGCAAAUCCACAUGCUGACUUGAUAAAGCAUCAAUCACAAGUGUAAGACAACAUAACAAUGCAACAAAUAAUUACAAGAAUUUAAUCUUGAAAUAAGAAUGAAAAAGGUGAGAAGAGAAAGACAUAGUGAAUUAUAAUAACAAGAAUAAAGCUGAAAGCAAUACUCAAAUAAUGAAGAUAGUAAGAUCCUAAGGAACUAAAAGAAAUAUCCAUCAUAUAGAUAAAGAAAAUAGCAAGACCAUUAGAUAUGAAAAAUCACAGUUUCUUUCCUCAAAAAAAUUCAUCAUACCAUUGUCUAAUAUGAAAAUUUGUCUCCUAUCAAGUGCCUUAUUACAUUAUGGAAAAAGGAAGCCUCUAAGUUAAACAUAGAGAUAAAAGAGGGAAAAAAGAUUGAGAAAAAAAUAGGAGAAGAAAAGAGGGAAGAAAGAUAGAGAACUUCAGAAGAUGAGAUCUUGCGUAGUGCAAUAAUUCAAUUCUAGAACAUAAGGGCUACAUAAUACCAAUUUAUAGACUCUCCUCAGCUGAUACAAAACUCAUCUACUCCAUCUAAAACUACAUAUUUCUUAAACAAUCUAUUCUGAAUCCUUAUCUGACUAGGAAAAAGAGAUAUGUCAAUUAGCUAGCUGUCAAUUUUAUCCACGCCACUGACACUCAUCGGUGCCUCCAAUGAGUCUCAAACACCUAAGAAACCUGUGAUCAAAUCAAGUUUGGGCUUAGUUUAGAACUCUCCAAAUGGAUAAAGGUCAAUCUGGACUAUUGUUGCAGAUUAGGAGUAGGAGUUGACCUCAUUGACCCAUCAAUUUUGACCAAAUAUGAUCAAACAUUAAAAUGAGCUGCCUAUGAUGAUUAUGUAAGCCUCUAAGUAAUCUUGAGUUGUUGAUACAAAAUGUGGGUCUUUUCCCUGGGCAGCCCAUAUGGUCGGGGCAUCCAAGAUUAAGCCCCCAUUGUGAAAGGUUGCCCUGGCUCGUCCCUUAGACUAUCCUCACAAGACUUGAGCUGACCCAAUAGAGCUAGAGUGGAGUCUUUUGUUUUCAUUUCACAGGGGCCAUGUUUGAGGACAAAGGCUGCGGAUCACUAGAAAUUUGUAUCACAACAUUGUUCUACAUGUUUCAUAAUCUAAGGCUUCAUUUAUGACUAGAUAAGGUUGAAUAAGAAAAUGACUAUAUCUUCUCUAUCCUACCAUCUCCUAGUCCAACCUUAUCCAGAAUCAUAUUUCUUUCUUAUUUUAUCAUCAUUUUUCAGUGAUAAAUAAAGGUAAUACUACAUAAACUCAAACAUCCAAAUAAAAAAAAUAAUCCAAAAACCAAUGAAUAAAAAUAUAAUUUAGAUUCAACCAAAUUAUAAAAAAAUUAAUCCUAGAUUCAAAUACGAUAUCCUUUCUCACCAAUAAUCUCUGUUAAGCAUAAUAGGGUAAGUUUAAUAAAUAAUUUUCAAAGCCUCUUUUCUCACCCUCCUCUACCUCCCAUAAAACCACUAACCUCAACUGACAGCUCUGAGAAAGAUAAAAGGGCACUUUAUGAAACUACAAAUUUAUAGAUGGAAGAAAAGAUAUUCAAGUUGUGGUUCGACAAGUGCUAAUUGUAAAUUAGAUAGCCUAUUUGACUGUUUAACCAUCAUGUCCACAUACCGAGUUGUCAGAUUGAGAGCUCUAAACAAGGCCACUGACAAUGCAGCAACCUACACAAAUAAAUCCAACUAUUAAAACAUUUCAUGCAAUUCUUCAAGAAAGUAGACCAAGAAUUACUAUCUAUAUCUUUCACUCAAAUGUAAAAUCCUUAGCGAGAUAUAUAUAUAUGCAUAACUGAACAAAAAGAAAGCACAAUGCUUGUCUUAUAUAAAUUUAAACUUCAGGCAAGGAUUGAAAAGACAUGAAGGCACUAGAAAAGGAGCACAAAAUUGCAUUAGAAGAACCAAAGUUACAUUUGAUUCACAUUUCUUGUUAUUCAUUAACCAAGAAAUCACCUACAGAUAUAUAAGACUUAUGCAAUGAGAUAAAGUUCACUGCCAAUUCAAAGAUCAGAUAAAAAAAUAGUGUGACAUAUUUAAGACAAAUUAUAAAAUUAAUUUAAACCAACCUGACCAUGGAUUAAGAAUCUCACAGUCGUAAGAGACACCAGAGUCGAAGAAAAAUACAAUAUCUUACUCAGCCCCUUGAUUAAUAAUAAUUUUUCCAAGAUAAGGAAAACAACAGUUGAAUAUUAAGAAUUGUGUUCAAGGGCAUCAAAACAAUCAGCAUAAUAAUGUUCUUUGAUGGCCAAUAACAACUAAGUGAGCUUUGUGGAGGUGUUAUGCAAUGUUCAAGAGAAAACAUCUAUUCCAAUUCGACUUUGUCAUACCUUUCUUUCUUCUUUAUAGUAGCAUUGCUCUUGCUUCAUCUUUUAAAAAGCGCUAGACAUCAAACAGGGUCUGCCGUAUCGAACCAUACCGCCUAGUAUGGACGGUACGUACCGAUCCGACAGGUUGUCGAUACGCGGACCGCCUGUUACCGGUCCGAGUGCACUGUAGCACUGUAGCGGUGCUACAGUACUCGACACACCUGGGUGUACCGCUCGGUAUACCGUACCGUACCGGUACCGAGCCCAGGUCGAAAUACCGGUAGUACGGUAUUGCGAACCUUGCAUCAAAGCCCAAAAAAGCCCGAGGCGCUCGCCCGAGUGAAGUGAGGCACUAAAAUAUAAAAAUAUAUAAUAUAAUUAAUAAAAUAAUUAUUUAAAUAAAAAUACGAUAUUAAAUUAAGAAAAUCUUGUAAAAUUACAAUAUCAUAUUAACAAAAAGUCUCAAAAUUAAAAACAAUAACAAUAAUUUCAAAUAAAUAAAAAUUAACAGUAUUAAAAUCAAAAUAAUAUAUUAUUAAUCUAAUAAAUAAAAAUACUAUUACUAGUAUACAGUUAGUAGUAUACUGUUAAUAUACUAUUAACAGUAUACUAUUGAAGUGAGAAGAGUAUGAGUAAGAGGAAGAUCAAGGCUGUUGAUUGAGAGCAACGGCAGCGGAAGCAACGAGCGAUGACAGUGGCGGUGGCAGCGAUAACAGCGAGCAACAACAGCGGGAGCGGCGAGCGAUGACAGUGGCAGUGGCAGUGGGAGCGACGAUAGUGACAGCGGCAGCGGGAGCGGCGAGCAAGGUUAGGGUUGGGAAGUCGUGAGAGAAAAGUUGAUAUUGGUGCUUUAGUUGGUUCGAUUGAACCAACUAAAGCACCGGAGACUGAACCAGACCUAAAACAUUGGUUCAGUCGCCCGGUUUAACCCGGGCACUCGCCUGAAGCACUCGACGCCUGGGCUCGGGCGAGCGCCCAAGCGACGCCACUUUGAAGCGCGCUGCCUGGAAAUGAAGCAAGGCGCUCGAGCCCAUUGAAAUCACUAUUUGAAAUAACCAUGGACUCUUCCUCCUUAAGUAUCAAUAUCACAAAAUUCUAUUUUUGGCACCUCAUUUUGCAACUAUCAAAUCCUCACACAUAAUAACUUUUGUGAUAAACUAUAUCUGUGCCAAAUGGGCUAGUCUUUGGCACCUAUACCUUGUAAAUAGCAAUCAUUUCACCUUGUCUUAAACAUUUUCCGUGUCUUCAUGGAGAUCGGAGGAUUAUUCCAAUUUUGUGAGAAUAAAUUGCAACUAAAAAGGUAAAUUGUCACACUCCACCAAACAACCUUCUAAAAUGUAUGGCAAGCCCUCUUUUAUUUACAUUUAUGACAAACUUUAGGAAGAUAGUUGAUCAUAAAAUUUUAUAAAAUAAUAUAUGGAGCAGGGUUUUUAAUACCAUUCCGUAUCACUCGGUAUGGGCGGUACGUAUCAGUUCGCCAGCUGAUCGGCACACGGACCACCCACUACCAGGCGGUAUCAGGUAUUUGGCUGCGAUGAGGUGAGGCUAGACGAGGAAGAAAAGGGCAUUCGAAAAAGAGGGAGAAACAUCGAGAAAGAGGACCGCAGAGUCAUCGAUGCAUCGUCACCAGCAUCUCGAUGAACCUGAGCCCAUUGAACCUCGAUGUGAACUUGUCUUCCAUGCCCUUUCUCGAUCUCGAUCCGACGCCUCCCUCCCCUGACGAUUUCAAUCCAAGAGGUAACAACGAGGAGAGUCAUACCUCUUUGGAGGAGGAACCGGAGGAGUGGGGAUUGGAGGAGGUGGCGGCGAGAGCAACAGAAGAGGCGGUCGCGACAAAGACAGUGAAGACCCCAGUCUUCUUCAUCUCCGAACGGUCUCCUUUGUCCACUGCCGUUGCACGAAGAACCUUUCAAUGUCGUCUUUCUUCUCCCCACCUCCUUGACGUCAAAGGCCGUAGCCAAGGUGACGAUAAGAAGGAUAAGGAAAAGGAGGACAAGGCAAUGACGAUGAGGCUGAAAUUGAUUUUUAUAAUUUUCUCGGUACCCCCAUACCGUAUCGUACCGAGCAAAGCUCGAUACAUCGAGAUGGUACGAGAUUAAAAGUCUUGAUAUGGAGAAGUCUCAAAUUCUUGCUCUCCUCAUUAGCUGACUGGCAUGUUAAUAAAGAACGGGUUUACAGCAUUGACUUAAUACCUUAAUAUAUAUUCUUCAAUAUCAACUAGUCUACAAUGCUUUCAAACUUCUGACAUGAAUGCGCUCAUGGAUGACCUCCAAAUUUAAAGUCUACUUACCUGCAUUGUGCUUCUUAGCCUUGAUUAAUAAUUCUUCAUCAAACAAUGUCAAUAACCUACCAGUAUACUAGUACUUGGAGUCUAUUCUGAUGUCAUCUAUAUUCAUUCUCUGAACAAAUGCUUAUAUUUACUCUGAGAAUCAAAACAGGUGAUUCAUUGAUUGCGAAAUUUUUUUGCAGACCUACUUAAUGUGAUCUUACCUUACAGUUUCACACUUGGCUAUGAUCCUAACAUAAAAGAUAUGAAAGAAACUGCUUCAACAAAUUGUUGCAGUCAAAUAAAAAAGCCAGGCAAGUGAAGAAAAAUUCGAACUUCACAAAACAAUUUCCAUUAACUAUCUAAAGAUUGAAAAUGAAGUUCACAAUCUAAAGUAAUGACCAGAAUCAUUAAGUAAAAAAAUACAUAAAAAAUAGCAACAGAGAUAAACACCUCUUCAGCUGUCCCCUCCUGGGUUUGAAGGGCAUACGCAAGAUUUGCAUUAAAAGAACCCUUAUCAAUGCUCCGGCUUCUUACACGGAAAUUAUUACUGAACUGCAGGAAGUACAGAAUUUGUGAGAAUGUCAAGGAGUAUCUGCUACAUACAAUAUUCAGACUCAUAAAAGUACCCCUUACCCAAUUUACAAGGGCACAUAAUCUGUUAGCCGUUAGUUUUUGAACCUCUCCUAUUGUCAGCAAGUUGACUGGUAAAAGUGAAAGUAAAGAAGCCUGCAAAACAUCUGAAAGUUAAAAGAAAACUUGUUUUAUGUACAAAGAUUGACAUGUAGCAGAAUACAAGAACCUGAAUCAGAGAAUCAUUGCAAGCAUUGUCAACAAUCCUCCCUCUUGCAAGUAGACAUAACAGAUGCACUUUAUGAACAAGCUCUGCUAAUUCCUGAAAUAAUAAUUACCCUAUGUUUGCCAUAUUAACAGUGCCCUAAAAAGAAUCACACAUUGCAUAGAAGUACAUCCUUAAACAUAAACCUGCCUUGAUAAUUCAGAAUUACCUUAUCUUUAGCAGAAAUUCUUCGAGGAAGCUUCUUUUGAGAACACGAUGGUGAGUCAGUGAAUUCAACAGUGAUCUCCCUACCAACAUCAUGUGAAUAACCUUCUAGAUUCUCUGGAACAGGAAUGCUACCCUCUUCCCAGACUAGUUCAUUUGCAUCAUAAGAAAUGUCUUCUGCAUCACCCUCUUUUACCAAUGUGCUUCCUUUACCAUUCCUGGUACUACAACCCUUCAGAUUAAAUUCAUGAACACAAUCUUUAGUAUCUAUGCUUCCACUAUUCUUUCCAGCUGGUUCCUCUACCUGAGAUAAUAGGAACUGAAUAUUUUCCAUUAGUAUGUACCCAAACUAUGGCAUAAACUUUGUAGAAUAAUGAAAAUGCACUACAAAAACUAGUUUUAUGUCUCGGUGCCUACUCUUAUCAUAAUGUGUUUUACCCUAUCAUCCUCUCACCGUUCAGAAAUACUGAAUCAAACAACCACAGACAGCUACCACAAACAUAAAAGAGAAUAAAUUUUCAUCAAUGAAGCAGAUAAAUAACUCAAAUUGCUAAGUAGUCAUGAAUGCUCGAGCAGACGAAGAGAACAACUCAAAGAUAACACCAUCCUUCUGUCUCUGCGUAAGCAAACAUCAUAUAUCACAACAAGUCAUCCUGUGGUUCCAUAAUGACUGAUCCGAAGGCCCCACGCAAAGCUUCUAAAGCGUACCUAACAACAUUUCAUGUUUAUAACCUUGGGGGGAAAAGAACUAGAAAUGGGCCAACCUUCUCUUCGGGCUCCCCAUGGUAAGUGACACUUUCUUUCCGCCGUUUAGAGCCCAAAGCUGUGUGAGAAGUUGCCUUUUUCGAUAUAUUGACGGUCGUCUCCUCCAAUCUAGCGGUUAGGGAACCUAAAAGCGCAAAUUGGAGGUAAAUAGUAACCAGAACGAUGCCACUUUCAAAAAAUAAAUGAAUCGAUGAAGAUGACAGAAAGAAAUCGUUACAAAACCUUUCCCACGCUUCGAUUUAGCGCCAGAACUGGUUCCCACUUCGGAAUCAUUCUGGGCUGCGGAGAAGAAUCGACAACUGAGGGUUUCUGCGCCGAACUAAUCAAAAUAGGGAAUAGGGUUACGGAAACAAACCGGGUGGCGUUUCGGCUCGGCGUUUGGAUUGAUUUCGCGUUCGCAUCUCCAAAACCUUUCAACUUCUCCUCCUCCUUCCUUAUGCCUUCUUCGGAAGGGGAGCUGAGUGCAUCUUUGAUGGUUGGGAGUUCGCCGCGCGGGAGAUCUUAGGGUGUGAGUGCGGGUAUAUCAAUCAUGCUACCGUGGGUCGAUCUGAGCCGUCCAAAGUAUUUAUUUUCUGAUAACUUCCGAAUGACCGAAUCGCCCUUGAAAACUUUCACAGGUAAUGAAUAAUAUGUUAAUACUUUAUUAUAAUUAGUGACCAUAGUUCAAAAAAAUCAUUGAAAAGGAGACUUUUGUAAAAGCACAUUCGAGUUAUUGAAUGGUUAAAUCUUUUUAAAGAUCUUAGAACGUUUCUAUUGAAACCUCAGGAUUGGAUAAUGUAUUAUUGUUACAUAAAUAAUAGAUUUCAUGUUCGAAUUCACUUUCAAUGUAAUAAAACUUUAUGAAUAAUAUAUAAGCUAGAGAAGCUACAAAGUUGGUAUAGAUUGAGAAAGUAUAACUAAUCGCAAACUAUGUAAUUUGUUUUUGUGUUUUCUUGAUAAAUAAAGAUAAAAUCUUCAAGUCAUAUGGAUUUCCAUUUAUAGGAAUCUUGAAAUUGUAAUUGUAGGUCCUAACUAAAAUGAUAUCUUUUAGAAAGUAAGAAAGAUGACAAGUAUCAAAAUAUCAAGAGAAAUGCAUAAGAAGAACCAAUCAUUGUCAAUCUACUUUGCUAUAUAUUUUUUCUCCAUCUAGUUUGUAUCAAAUGUCCAGUUGACAGCAGCUUAAUUCCAAAGUUUCAUAGUCUAAAUCUGAUUGAUGAAAGAGAGAACUACUUGGCCUAGUUGAUCAAGUAAAUUCAAUGAUCAAUUUCCACAAACCACAAGGAGACUUCAUUUUACUCAUUUGUCAAGGAUUAAUUUCAAGAACAAAUAAUAUAGCAUACUAUGUUAUGUGCCAGAGGACUUGACACACAACUGUCCAAUUGUAAUACCAAUAUGUAAUAUGUUUAGACAGGAGUUAUGUUGUAAUAACAAUUUAACUUAUCAGGGCACACAAAUAUUGCUUUGAAUCCAAUUGUCCAGUCUCUUUUGGUCAUAUCACUCCAAACUUUUCUAAUAAGAACACUAGUCCAACAAUAAUUUUAGAUGUAUGAUCCAAUCCGAGUUCAUGGUCAUCCAAAAAAGAGAGUUGAUUUCCAAGUAGAUCAAGAAUCCACUCAGACAUAUCGAUAUGAUACCAACAUAAACAUUAAGCAUUUCCAUAACCAAAGUGUUUGAAAAUAUUCACUGGUGGAGAAAAUAAUGGCAAACACAUUAAACCUGGCAUAGAAAAUCAAGCAUGGGAUGUGCAGAACUGCAGAUGUGCCAAUUUACUUGAAUCUAAAUAUGCCAUGUAUGUAUUAUUUACAUAUAUAAUGCAAGCUUAAGUGCCUGGUAUCAAUGCAUCAUCAGAAUCUGCAACAAUUUUCAGUAAUCUUCUAAACAGUAAGGGUGCUGAAAAGGUAAUUCUUUUUCAUCAAGAUCAGAGGACCAAAGGGACUAACAUAAUCUAAUUCCUGAUAUAACCAUCUUUUUCUCUAUGAUAUAGCACUUGAAUCAUAUUGGGACAAGUAAUCAGAGAUCCCUAUAAGACUCUCUACUACGGAGUACAUUAUGAUAUCUCUUAUCUGAUAUUUUAUCACUGAAAUGAACAAAUAAUUUAAUCAUACAUUACAGGCCUGAUUCAAAUGCAAACUCAAUUAUGCUAGCUUAAUACUUAGGGACUCCCCACUGUCCAUGCUGCUCUUUUGGUGUGCCACAAACCAUAAGUCCUCUCCUCGAAAGAUUGAUAUCAGCCAAUGAAAUUUUGCUUGACACAUUGCAACUUCAGAAUCUACUACUGUUUUCAGGAAUUUUCUUGGAACAAGCAUAGGGAAUGGUAUUGGUCAUCCUGAAAAUGAACAACUCAGAUAAUCUGAGCAAAGCACCUCUCUUGACAAGGUGAAUGGAAGAAAUAUUAAUAUAAACAAGAACAAUGUAUUUUGUCAUACACUUGAAAAUAAAUUCAUUAAAGAAACUAAGAAUGGUCCUUAAUGCUCAUGGUCUUGUAUCGAAAGGAUCUAAUUAAGUAGAGAAGGUAAGAGAUAAGUAGUGGAGAUAAGCAGUGGAUGUAGUUAAUCGAAUGCACACAAACAGAACAAUCGCACCUCUCCUUGCGCUUUUCCAGGAAUCGUGAUAGUGAUGCCUUCUGAGCUUGAGGUACAGAUGCAUAUAUAAAUCACCAAUCUAUUUAUUUACCUGGGCUAUUUAACCUGAUAAAAAAGUUAUCAAAAAUUUAGUAGACACAAAAACAAAGACUGUAUAUGAGAUACAAUUAAAAUCCUCAUUAUUUUGGAGAAACAAAGUUUGCCAAUUCAUCAAACCUUAGAGCUAAUUACCUCUUGGCAUGUCAAUUGCUACAAUUUCUAAUCCUAAAACUGAAGUUGAUUUUUUGGAAAUUUCUUGGAACCGACAGCUUUAGUCCCCAUUGUGUCAUCAUAGGUGCUAUCACCACUACUUGAGCUAGCCACGGUAUAUGACAUAACUGAUGUCGAGCAUGAGGGAUAUGGGCAGGGUGAUACCACAUGAUUCCCGUUAGAGCUCAAAGUCAUAUUCGUAGUUAAACCAUCUGAUUCUACUACUUCAGAUGGGACUGAGGCUGCAGCUAGUAAGGGUGCUUCAGAUCUCGAAUUCAUAGCAUUUCAAGUCACUGUAGAUCCCUUACUCACCAAUAACAUAAUUGCCUGAGCGUGAAAAGAAAAUUAAUCAACAAAAUUGCUUCACAACCAUGGUAUUCACAUCAAAAUUGGAAUACCAUAUCCAAUGGAAUGUCAUCAUACACAUUUAUGCAGUUCCCACAGAAAAUAGUUAGCUGAGCAGUCAUAUUGGCGGUAGUGUUGGCCAUAUUGCUGGAUAAACGAAUACAUCAUGCCAUAUUGUCAACAAGAUGGAAUGUAUAGUGUCUGAAGAAAAGAGUUGAAGGCUUUCUCCUGAAACUUAUCAGAAAAUAUCUUACCUUGGAUUAAAAGCUCCAAGCACAGGGCCACCAACAGGGGUGCUAAUGGUGGUGCCACAUCCGAAAGGCUGCUGCUUGGCAGAGAUGACUGCUAUAUUAGGGCCAUUUAGAGCACCCACAGUCUUGAACAAAGGACUGCUCAUGUUGACAGGACUAAAGUGAUUUAACUUGUGCUGUGAAGAAUCAACAAAACCAGUGUUGUGAGGCUGAUAUGCAUGGAAUGGAUAUUGGUUCAUCCUUCGCCAUAUGUCGAAACUGAAGCAUUUCUACAAGAUCAAGACACAGCAACAUGCCAGUUUGGUGAGCAAAAUGACCAGUGUGAUGAAUGAUUAUGUCUAAAACCAGUUGGAAAAUCGAUGCACACGUACCUGAUUGGCCUCAAAGGCAUCAAUGGCUGAUACAGGUUGGAAUCUCGAAGAUGAGUGUUCAUCAGAGACAUAGUUUCUUGACUUCUCCUCUUGUGCAUCCUUGUAGAACAUGAAUGGCUGCAUGGUAGACAUCUUGUUCAAGAAAGGCCAUUGCACUGUUGAAGCUCCUUACAUAGCUGAGAGUUAGAAACAAAUGCAAAAGCAGAUUUGGAAUUAGAUCAGAAGCAUCUUCCAUUAAUUUGACUAUUGAUUAUUCUCAAAAGCUAUACAAAUCGACUCACCACUGACAUAUAUCACAAUAAAAACCACCUCAAAAAUUUACAAUACGAUGGGUCUGAUGGACUCAAAUUCCAAGUGCCCCCGUUUUCCUUUCCAAUACAGAAACAUGAAACGCAUACUCUCAACCAACAGUCGAGCAAACGUAAUAAGAGCAGCAAGAAGUUAAAGACAAGAAUCUUUCAAAGAUAGCAUCCAUUACAAAUUUGAGCCUCUGGCUUCCAACAUUUUACUGAAAAAUUCAGCUGUUAGAGCACCAAAAACACAAAAAUCAUAUCUUUUUCCAAAGAAACGAACUAAACCCAUCAAGAGAGUAAGUCACUCAGCAUUAGAAACUAGAAUUAAUGCCGUUGCUGAAGCCAAUCAAAUCUCCUACCGUUUCAAUCUUUAGAAAAAAGAAGGAAUAAAAUGCCACACCACCAUAAAAGCGUCGUGUUUUCCGUACUCGGUCUUCGUACCAGUUGCCAGAUCCACAGCUCACAAGAUUUGCUUCAAGAAAAUAUAAGACCAACCUUUUAUCUCAUAUAGUCCAAUAAUUUUAGCAACCUAAGUCGAUCAAAUCAUUCAAAAUCACACCUUUAGCCGAGAGUCGAAAAUCAAACCUCAAAUAGUAAAGAAAAAUGAUUUGUUUAAUUAUAGAAAAUAAAUUACAAUUAAAACUAAAGAAAAGUUUGAUGGAUUGAAAGCUUGAGCAAACCUGAUCCCUGAAUCUUGGCGGCUCCCACCGGUGUCCUCCUCCGACGUCUGCGGGUCCAAAUCCCUCUCGUGAAUUCCCAAGAAAUCCGUCUUCUCACGCUAUCUGAUUCGAACGAUGCCUAUACUUUCUUCUCUCCUUGCACCCAGAGCUUCUCCUCCUCCGUCAGGAACCACCGAAGCCCUCAACAAAAGCCCUCCUCCUUGCACACACUGGAAUAAAUCGACUCCCUUCCGGUGGUUGAUACAGGAAGGAAAGGGACGAGGCUGGAGAGACGUCGGACGGCACUGGCUGGCGUCGGUUCCGGCGCACGUGCGCCAGCGGCGAGAUUCCCCGCGCGCGAUUAAUCGGCCCUGGCGCUACCUCGUUCCGCUCUUCGUGACGAUGACUCGGCGGGGUCCAUAGGUGCACCGAAUCGUAUACGCCGCGUGACUUCAUCCACGUCAUCUUUUCUUGCGACGUAUUUGAUCCGUUGACGAAAACACGACUCGAGCCAUCCGCACCCGAUCACGAAGUUAGAUACGAGAUUCGGUUGAUCGAUUUCUCCCUCAGUUGCUACAUAAGCACAGUAAGGGUUGAGUUCAAUCAGGUCUAAUAAAUGAGCCUUCUAUGAAUCUAAAGUACUGAUCAAUGACUAAAUAAGUUAUAUAACCCAAAAAUGAUCAAUUUUUUGUUCCUUUUUUAUCCACUUGUAAUAGUCAUGGAUCAUUUGAAUACUGUUGAUGUUAAAAACUGUGUUAAUAAUAUAAUUUUUAAGUAUAAUUAUAUUAAUUAAAAUUUUAAGAUGAUGUGAGAGUAAAAGAUUGGAUGUUUAAAUCCUCAAACUUGAUCACUUAUUCAAAAAAAAAAAUCAAUCAAUUGAAGUCAAAUUGUACGUGUUGGGUUUAAGCAUGUAAUCCAUACGUGAGCAAGCAUGUUAAGAAUAUAAAUAUCUAAUUUAUUUUAAUAUCAUUUUUUUCUAACCUGAUUCAACUCAAACACUUAAAUCAAAUUUGAAAUAAGUUUAAAAAGAAAAGUAAAUAUCUAAUAGGGUAUAUACAAUUAGUUAGCUAUCACUUUCACGUAAGAAGAUAAAAGCCCAAGAAGCCCAACACCCUCCUACCCACAGAUAAGAGUCUAAAAGAUAGCUCGGGUCAAUUACCAAACUGUCGAGCUACCUCCCAUAUGAAAUAGUCUUAGGAGUAUUCUUGAAAAUCUAACGGAGUUGUUUAUUGAAUCGAUUGAGUGAGUCUCGGAUUCAAGCGGAGUGGAGCAGUGGUGGGAUAGCCUAUUAAACUCUAUGAUUGGGGAGCAGGGUGCUCUCUCGGUUGGUGGCUCAAUAGAUCUUGGAUACCUAUGAGAUGUUAACAAUUCAUUGAGCAAGAAGACCCCAACGAACGUCGAUGCAAAAGGUUGCUGAACUAUCGAUGGUGGCUGAGGCAGUGGCAUCACCUGCUGGUUUGACCAAGAUAGAAGCGGGGUAAUAUGUUGUAUUAUGUCGGCUAAUGCUUGCAUUUGCUGGGUAAGAUUCAAGAAUGCCUCGAUAGGAACGAGUAGAUGGAUCAAUAGCACUCCUGAAAAUGAGGGUCUAGCUUCAUUGAAUGAACACCAAUACUGCAUUGGUACUUACAACGAGGUAGAUGUAUCUAUAUGGGGAAAUGGCAACUAUUGACCUAUUUGAAAGUAUCAUAGGUUAGAAACAGAGCCUCACUCGAAUGUUCAUGGGCAUGGUCAAUCUGCGAAUGUUUCUACAAUAUCAGACCCUCCUUUUAGCACUAAAAUAUUAAGGAAAAAAUAUUGUUGAUAUCUUCCUGAGCACAAUAUGCCCUGAUCCGCAUGUGAGGAGUCGUCCAAAAUAGAGUGCAGUUUCUCUGAACUCAUUUCCUAUACAAAGACUGUGGUUGAAAAGAGCUUCCCGAGCCAAUCCCUAUAAUGCAUAAGUUAGUAACGAUGUAUCUCUCCUCUAAUCCGGAGUUAACGGUGUAUUUUUAUGUUUAAUACUAUCGAUGUUAAAAACUAUGUUAAGAAUAUUAUUUUUUAAGUAUAAUAUAUUAAUUAAAAUUUUAAGAUGAUGUGAAAGUAAAAGAUUACAUGUUUAAAUCCUAAAACUUAUUCACUUAUUAAAAAAAUCCAUCAAUUGGAUUCAGAUUGUACGUAUUGGGUUUAGGCAUGCAAUCGAUACGUUAGCGUGGAUGUUAAGAAUAUAAAUCAUAUCUCAUUUAUCUCAAUAUCAUUUCUUUUUUUUAUAUUGGGUUAUUUCUAACCAAAUUCAACUUAGAUUUAGAUACACUUAAAUCAAAUUUGGAAUAAGUUUAAAAACAAAAGUAGGUGCCCAAAUCAUAUUGAAAUUUGAAUAUUUAAAUAAUUCUUUCAAUUCAGAUAAUAUCAAUUUUAAUGAUAUUUUAUUAUAUUAUAUUUUGUUAUAAUAUUUUUAUAAAAAUGGGUGUCUCUUAGAUGAGUAAGACAUACCUUCUUCUAAAGGAUAAGUGAUUAGGGAUUUACAUGAGAAGGACAAGUGUCCACCUUACAUAAAUACUAUAUAUCCCUUUAUAAGAAAUAAGAGAUUAGGGAUUCAUAGGAAGAAGACGGGUGUCCAUUUGGCAUGUGUACUUUAAAAUAUGUGUAUGACAUCUUUCUUUAGCUCAAAGCCCAAUACAAAUACGUCUUAUGCCCAAAUUCUAUUGUAAUUUAAUAAGAAAAUAAAAUAUACAUAGUAUAAGCCUUCUAUAGGCAUUUAGUCUCAUAUGGCUCCGAUGUAGCGAUCUAAAGUUUUCUGCAUUCUCUUGAACUAUCGUAAUGGUGUCGUAGUCCUCUGAUCCCCAUCAAUAAUACAUUACAUAGUAAAACUUAAAAAUAUCAUGAAAUUUAGAAGAUAUCUUUGAUUUGGAUCCAUAUGAACAUAUUCUAAUAUUUUAUUAUUUUAAAUCUUUUUUGACAUUUUUUCUGAAUUAUUCAAUUCCUGCAUAGUGUGUUAUUUUUUAUUUUUCAUUCAAAUUUUUUAAAAAAUUAUAAAAAAUGCAUGCACUCAUGCAGUAUUUUUUAAUAGUUAAUCUUAUAAUUAGGUCUCAAACACUUGGUAAAAAUUUGACCAUAAAAAUAUAUAUUUCUUUAUACUUGAUGUACUAUUUUUGGCUAAAAUCUAAAAAUAGUGCAUCGCAUAGCAGCACUUGCCAAAAUAUUUUGAAACUUUGGAAAUAUCAUUGUAUUGGAUCCACAUGGACAUAUCCAGAAUUUUCUGAAUUAUCCACAUGGACAUGUCAUUUUCUUUCUUGCCUAACUAUUUUAAAAUUUCACCAAAAAUUCCGACACUCAUACAGUAUUUUUUUUGACAUUUGAGUUUCUAAGUAAGUCACAAACACUUCAUAAAAAUUUGACCCACAAAAAUAUUUUCUUAUAUGUGAAGUGCAUUACAUAAUAGGACUUGUCAAAAUACCCUAAAAUUUUAAGGAUACCUAUGCAUUAGAUCCACAUGGACAUAUUACAAUAUUUUUCAUUUUCAUAAUUUUUUUUCAAAUUUUUUCUGAAUUAUUAUGUUCUUGCAUAGUAUGCCAUUUUUCCUUUUUUUAAAAAAAAAUUAUAAAAAAUCAUGCACUAAUAUAAUAUUUUUAACAUUUGAGCUUCUAAUUAGGUCACAAACACUCGGUAAACAUUUAGUUGUCAAAAAAUAUUUUAUUAUAUGCAAUGCACUAUUUUUGGCCAAAGUCUCAAAAUAAUGCAUCCUAUAGUAGAACUUAUCAAAAUAUUCUAAAAUUUUGAGGAUACCUUUCUAUUGGAUCCACAUUGAUAUAUUCUUUUUUUUUUAUUUUCGAAAUUUUUUAUAUUUUUUUGAAUUAUUUAGUUCUUGCACACUAUGUCAUUUUCUUUUUUUCUAAAAUAUUCAAAUUUCUAUAAAAAAAUUCAUGCACUCAUGCAUAGUCACAACACCCCUUCAAUCAUGAGCUUUUUAUUCGUAAAUAUUCAUCCUUUCAUCUUCAUGCUUUCAUUAUGCUUGCUUCUUAAGUUGGUAAUAUCGAUAAUAGAAUAUUCAUAUUGUUCUACAUUAUCUUUCUCAGAGCAAACCCAACAUAUAGUCAUAACAUCUAUUAUGAAAGCUGAGUAUCAAAUUAUUACCACCACUAUUAUAGAACUCAAUUAGAUCACCAACUUGCUUCACAAACUUAGAAUCGACUCUCGAUCCACUUCAACAAUAUAAUGUGAUAAUAUUGAUAUAACCUAUGAUGCUCCAAUCUAAUAUUCAACUCUCGCAUGAAAUAUAUUAUCAUCGACUUCUACUUUGUCGAAGAUCAAAUAGAUAGACUCCAACUCCGUGUAUCUCAUAUUCAUAUUUCUAACCAAUUAACUAAUUCCCUUACAAAGCCAUUUACUCAUAAAGUAUUUCACAAAUAUGAUUUCCAAGAUUAACAUCUACGACUGAAGCUUAAGCUUAUAAACACAUUAUAGAAGAUUAGCAUAAUCUUGUAUUCCUAUUAUGUCAAGAUCCUUAAUUAAGCCUAGGCUCAAUUAUUAUGAUACAUGCACACACGAUUGAGGGCAAUCUAUCCUUCCUCAAACGUUUAUAUAUACUUUGUACCUCGUAAAAAUGAAACAUUAAUCUAUUAUGGCAAAUAAUUCCAGACGCUGCAUGACCAAGGUGGAGAUGAUCUUUAUAAGGCCUUGAUACCCAUCACAUACGGCCAUCUAUAUUCAAAUACCCAUUGCAGGGAAAGAAGCGAUCGCGUGAUUACAAACGAUUAUUCUGUCACAAACAUUCUCUUCUAAGCAAGACAAAGAAGAGCUUCCUCCCUCUCUCUCGCUCGCCAUAGUUUCCUAUUGCCAUGGGCAACAACGCCAGCCUCUUUCUGAUGCUUGGUCUCCUGCUCUCCGUUAUUCCCUACAGAGGUCAUCCUUCAUCUUCUGAUAUGAUACAGCUAUAGCUUUUACACUGACUCGUUUCUCGACGCUUGCAUGCAGGAGCAUCAGAGACAGGAACACACUCCAAUCAUGACGACUACAUACCUGUUUCUUCCGUCGAACACCGACCUCUCGACGACGUGAUCAACAACUUACACGGCCACGAGUCUGAUGUUAGACAGUGCAGCGAUUGUCGAUGUUGUUCUGCCAAAGACCCGAACAACUGCCAGACGAUGAGUUGUUGUCAAGUAAUGGUCUGCCUCGAGCCCGGCCGCUUAUGUUCUUUGAAGCCGAUCCGUUGCGACUGCAACAACUGCAGCUGAGAGAACUUGGCAUUGCUUCCGUGGGUGCAGACUAGUGGAGAUGGGACAAGAUGAAAGGAGACUUUUCUUCUUUUGGGUUCACUUUGUGAGCAGUAGUCUGCAUGGCGAGGAUUGGAUGAUAUGUAUCCAACAAUAAAAGACUUUCUUAAAGAGUGGUAGUGUUACUUUCAUGAUUAAAGAUUGGGCCUAUGUUGCAUUUAUAUUUAUAAUUUUUUUGAUAAAUUUCUAGUAUAUUUUUUUUGUUAGAAAAUAUAUCGAUCUUAUUAUAAGUGCAUGCAUCUGUUCAAGCACCGAAACCACAUCCUACAAAAAAAACAUAAAAAAUAAUAUAAAAAAACAUUAGAGAAAUCGACUUUGGUCGGCUAGAGUUAUUAUUAUUAUUAUUAUUAUUAUUAUUAUUAUUAUUAUUAUUAUUAUUAUUAUUAUUAUUAUUAUUAUUAUCAACACGGCUCGAGCUUCGUCACACACAUUAUGUAAUAUUUUUAUUAAAGAUAGAAAUUCUAAAAGUUUAAUAAAACUCAUAUAUUACUCAAAACAAAAAUCAAAUAAAUAUACAUUGACUUUAUUAGCUAGCAUGAGUGAUGUGAUAGGCUAGUUGUUAGGAAUAUCUAUUUUCCAUUAAAAUAUGGUUUAUAGUUAUUUAAGAACUAGAUUAGUAUAAGAGCUCAUAUAAAAUUCUAAAAUAUAUAAGAAAAUAAACAUUAGAAGUCAAUAAUCAAAUCAAUAGUUAUCCUACUAGCAUAUGUCAAACAUCCGUUGGAAUGCUCUACCACUAAAGUGGAGGAUGAGCUUUAUGUUCUCUUAAUAACAGAUGAAAAAAAACUCAUAUUAUACUUCUGCAGCAAAUGAAGUGGCAUCUUGCAUAUAUCAAUAUAGAGACGCAUUCCUUCCGGAGGAACUAUCUAUUCAUCAUAUCUAAUGACUCGUUAAUCUUUGAGUAGAAUCAUCCUAUAUACCUUUCAGAUAAAAAAUAAUAAUCUCAUAAAAUAAUAAAUCAUGUUUAUUUCAGGAUAAAAUAAUAUUAUCAAUCAAAACAUCUCGAAUUAAUUACCCUUUAAGCAACAUCCAUGAACAUAUAUUAUCAACUUAAAUCCCAACUAAGUCAAUCUAAUUAACUUAAGCCUAACUUGAUUUAACUAGAAUCUACCUGAAUUCUCCUCUAACCCUUAGAACCACGUUAAAUUAAUCUAAUUUAAAUUAGAUUGGAUUUAAUUUAGAUCAAAAAAACUUAAAAAAAUUAUAUAUAUAUAUAUAUAUAACAUCCAAUUAGUCCCACAUUAGAAGUGGACAAUGUGUAUGAUUCACUUAUAUGAGCCUGAUGAGUGUACUACAUUAACUCUUGCUAUAAGAUUGGUACAACCAAAAAAUUAUGUGAAGAAUAAUUAUAAGAAAUUUUGCAUCAAACUUAUGGCAAACCAUUAAACUCAUUCAUGUUUAGUCACUAGAAUUCUCCAAUUUGUGCUGAAAUAAAGGAACUAAUCAUGAUUGAUUUGGAAUAUUUUCUUAUAUACAAUGCAAUAUUUUUGACCAAAUUCUAAAAAUAGUGCAUCAUAUUCUAAAAUUUUGAGUAUAACUUUUCAAUGGAUCCAUAUUAAUAUAUUCCAUUUUUUAUUUUAGGUUUUUUGAAUAUUUUUCUGAAUUAUUUAGUUCUACGUCCUUUUCUUUUUUUUCUAACUUUUUCAAAUUUUUACAAAAAGAAUUCAUGCACUCAUACAUAGUCACAAAAUCCUUUCCAUCACAAAUUUUUUCUUCGUAAAUACUCAUCAUUUCAUCUUCGUUGAUGCUACUUGAGUCGAUAAUAUUGAUAAUAGAAUAUCCACAUCAUCUUAUAUAAUCUUUCUUAGAGCAAACCUGUUUAAUUGGAGUUUCAAGAAAUAACAUAUAGCUAUAACAUCUAUCACGAAAGUUGAGUAUCGAGUCAUCGCCACUGCUAUUGCGGAGCUCAACCAUAUCACCAACUUACUUCACAAACUUAUAGUCAGCUCUCGAUCCACUCCAACAAUAUAAUGUGAUAAAAUUGGUAUUACCUAUAAUAUUUCAAUCUAAUAUUCCACUCUCGUAUGAAAUAUAUUAUCAUCGCUUUCACUUUGUCAUAGAUCAAAUAGUUAACAUAUAUCUCAUGUUCACACUUUGGACCAAUUAGGUAACUCCCCUACAAAAUCACUUGCUUAUAAAGUAUUCCAUUAAUAUCAUUCCAAGAUUGACAUACAUGAUGACAGUUUAAUAUUGUAGGGACAUAAUAGAGGAUUAGGAUAAUCUUGCAUUCCUAAUAUGUCACGAUCCUUAAUUAAGCCAGGAUAAAUUAUUAUGAUACAUGCAUAUGAUUGAUAGAAAUCUCUCCCUAUUUAUAUAUACAAUGUACCUUAUUUAAAUGAAACAUUAAUCUUUUAUAGCAGAUCUUUUGAGAUGCUGCAUGACCAAGGUAGAGAUCAUCUUUAUAAGGUCUUGAUACCUAUCGCAUAUGGCCAUCUAAGAUUGUUCUGUCACAAACAUUCUGUUGUAAGCAAGACGAAGAAGAGCUCCCUUCCUCUCUCUCGCCAUAGUUUCCUAUUCCGAUGGGCAACAACGCCAGCCUCUUUCUGAUGCUUGGUCUCCUGCUCUCUGUUAUUCCCUAUAGAGGUCAUCCUUCGUCUUCCGAUAUGAUAUAGCCAUAGCUUUUACACUGACUUGUUUCUUGAUGCUUGCAUGCAUGCAGGAGCAUCAGAGAUAGGAACACACUCCAACGAUGAUGACUACAUACCUGUUUCCUCCGUCGAACACCGACCUCUCGACGACGUGAUCAACACCCUCCAUGGCCACGAGUUUCUUAUUCAACUGUGCAAGGAUUGCCGAUGUUGUUCUACCAGAGACCCGAGCAAGUGCAAGACGAUGAGCUGUUGUCACGAAAUGAUCUGCCAGGAGCCCGGCCGCUUAUGUUCUUUGAAGCCGGUCAGCUGCUCCUGCAACGACUGCGGCUGAGAACUUGGCAUGCUUCCGCGGGUGCAGACUAAUGGAGAGGGAAAAGAUCAAAGGAGACUCGUCUCCUUUUGGGUUCACUUUGUGAGCAGUAGUCUGCACGACGAGGAUUGCUUGAUAUUGUAUCCAACAAUAAAAGAUUUUACUUUCAUGAUUAAAAAUUGGGCCUAUGUUGCAUUUAUAUUUACAUUUUUUUUUGGAUAAAUUUCUAGUAGAUUAUUUUUAUUAGAAAAUAUAUCUUAUAUAUGUGCAUGCAUCUUCGGUACAUCUCAUACCAUUCGAAACAAAAGUCUCUAAUGACAUACCAUUGCAUGGGUAACAUGUCCGACUAAACACCCAAAUGUUUAUGUUAAAGCACCAAAACCACAUUCUACAAAAAGCACAGAAAAUAAAAAAUAUCAGAGCAAUCUACUUUGGUCGACCGGAGUUAUUUUAUUUUUAUUUUUAUUUUUAUUCCAAAACAGCUCGAGCUUCAUCUACUGUCACACACAUUAUGUGAUUGUAACACCUUUCCAUAGACUACAUUACUUUAUUAAAAACAUAAAUUCUAAUGAUUUAUUACAACUCAUCUAUUACUCAAAAGAAAAAUCAAAUAAAUAUCCAUCUGACUUCAUUCGCUAACAUGAGUGAUGUCAUAGACUAGCUGUUCUAGUGGAGGAAAAUUUGUUCUUCACAAAAUCUUGUUUAGAGCUAUCGAGAGGCUAUUCUAAGAAUCAAAGACAAAACAAAAUAAUUCAAGAAUAUAUUGAUUCGGAGCUUGUAUAAAACCCUAAAAAAAAAUAUAUAUAUAUUCAUUAAUAAAAUCAACAAUCAAAUCAAUAGUCACCUCACAUAUGGAUGCCAAAUAUCCGAAGUACUCUCCCAACAAUGAAUGAAAGACUUUAUCAUAUGGGAUAAGCUUUACAUUCUUCUGCGGAUGGAGAAAAUUAAUAUUGUACUCCCAACAUGAAGGAACCAACCAUCUAGUCAUCACGUAUAAUGAUUCACUAAUCUUUGAAAAGAAUCAUUAUACUUUCUGAAACAUAACCAUCUUACAAAAUAACAUAUUAUAUCUAUUUCAAGAUGAAAUAAUAUCAUCAAUCAAAACAUCUCAAAUUAAUUACUCUUCAAGUAUCAUCAAUGAACAUAUAUUAAUUAGCGCUUAAACCCUAACUAGAUCAGUCUAAUUAACUUGAGUCUAACUUAAUUUAGCUAGAACCUAAUUGAACUGAUCUCUAACAUUUGAAAUCAUACUAGUCUAAAUUGAAUUAUAUUGUAUUCCAUUUAGGUCAAACAAACCUGAAUAAAUCAAAUUAGUUUAAGUCAUCUUGAAUCGAUCAAUCGACUUGGUUCAGUCAAUUGUAGGGUUCAAAUCAAGCAAGAAAGGGAAUUGAACUAGGUUGCAUAGCUCAAUGACACUCAAUCUAGCUCCAAAGCUCACCCAACUUCAACAAUUUUAUCAAUAACAAACUCAAGCCAAGUCAUCAAUCAAGCUUCAAAGCUCAAUUUGAUCAACCCAAAUCAACUUUUACUCUUCUUCUUCUUCUUCUUCUUCUUCUUCUUCUUCUUCUUCUUCUUCUUCUGUUUCCCUAGCCUACUGCAUUGCAUUAGAGCAAAGAGCCAACAAAAAAUUAUAGCCGGCCUAGAGCCCAAACUCUGGUUGAGAGAUUAAAGAAGAAGACGUGCUGCCGAGUUCCUUCCAACUGGAGCCCCUUCCUUCCUAAAUUCCAACAACCAAAGCCUUACUUUAAAGCUUCCUCUAGCUAGUGUGAGAAGUUCAAAAUCUAUCUAUUCACUGCCCAAAUCUCAGAAGGUGAUUUCAACAGCAAGGAGGAAGGAAGAGAUUGAGACCAUCCUACCGAGAGCACCCAAGUUUCGACACAACAUAAUUUCUUAUGCACUUAGUUGAGUCUUUUCACACUCUUAGUCCCUCGUAGUUGACACUUUUUGAUUUGAAAGUAAUAGAAGUUAUUUGUUUUUGGUUUUAUAGUAACAUCUUUCUCUUCUAUUAAAACUUUUCAUAUGCAUUAUUGAACCUGAACUCCAUAUGCAUUAGGUGAUGCCAAAGCAAUAAUCUUAUGGAUGAGGACCACAAGAAAAGGAUAUAAAGAAUUAUAAGAGUUAAGAGUUUAAAUCAUGCUUACAUAGAGAAAGAACCACUGAUUGAUUAGCUGCUAAUACUUGGAUAGCCUCGGUAUCUUUACUACCCAAAUGAUAAUAUUAAUGGGUUGGACGCAAGCCAACAUUAGAGAGAGCAUUAUUUCCAUCUGAGAUGCGCAGCGACGAAGAGAAUACCACAUAGUAAACAUCAUGGUUUAAUUGACUACUACGUGGAACUCUCUGAAUGGGCUUGGAUCCAUCGUGGGAUUGGAUCCAGUUAAGUGCAACCACGAGAAACAGAGGUGAUAAAAGAUGGCUCACACGAGUCUAAAAUGACAAAAUCGUGUAAUACAUGGUAGUUAUAGGUGUUCCGUAAGCUAAUCACGUGAGUAAUGAUAUGUGUAAUCUAUUGGAUAAUCUCUUUUAGUUAAUAUUAAUAAUGAUAUUUUUUUACUUUAUAUUAUAUGAUGAAUAUAUUGUGAUGUUUUUGAAUCUGUGCAAUGUGAAUUGGAUCAUUGUGAGAUUAUGAUAAUGAGACUAAUUCAUUUUUUAACACGAAUCAUUUCUGGUCAUAGGUUACUCGAGAAAGAAAUCAAAAUAAUCGAAUAGACCGAUGUACGAUAUAUCCGUCCAUAUAAUAGAAAUAACUAGUCUCAUAAUUACUUGUGUAGUAACAUAACUAAUAUGUAUAGGCCAAACAAAUGAUUUGCAUUUAGAUUUAUGAAGGCAUACACAUUUCAGAUACACAUAACUAUUAUGCGAAGGCAUACGCAUAACUAAAUGUAUAAGCAGUAGCAAAUCGUAAUUACAUUGUUCAAAUGAAAACACUAAAUUACAUGUUAAGCAGCACGCCGAAGCAUGCUGCUGUGAUUGAAAGCAGGAGACAGACAGACACUCGCUUUUUCGUUGUAUCAGUGGACUGAGCACCUGAAGUGCAAUAAAUCUGACAAAAUCUAAGGACUAAACACACGUCCCACAAACACGAUAUGCAUCGAACAAAAGUAUCAAGUUUUGAAGAACCAUAUGUGAUUUGACGUGGGAACAAGAGGCGGAUUCCACGAUUUAAGUGACAUGGAUGAUGCAAUAACAACAGGGAUUGAUUACCUUGUGCGUAAAAUUAUUUUCUCUAGAUUGCUCUAACUGAAACGAAUGAAGAGUUUGUGCGUCUGGGUCGGCGGAUGGGAUCACGGCAACUAGUUCUUCCAUGCUGACGAUGACCUCUUCAGAUGGUGUAGGAGUCAUCAUCCGGAUGAUAGUUUGUGCAUCUGGAUCGGCGGAUGGCAUCACGACAACUAGUUCUUCUUGGUCAUCGGAUGGUAUGCUGAUGAUGACCUCUUCAGAUGGUGAACGCACAGCCAUUCUUAUGCCCGGAGGUUCGAAAUGAAUGGGAUUAAGAAAUGCAUCCGCCGACCCAGAUGCACAAACUCUUCAUUCGUUUCAGUUAGAGCAAUCUAGAGAAAAUAAUUUUACGCACAAGGUAAUCAAUCCCUGUUGUUAUUGCAUCAUCCAUGUCACUUAGAUCGUGGAAUCCGCCUCUUGUUCCCACGUCAAAUCACAUAUGGUUCUUCAAAACUUGAUACGUUUGUUCGAUGCGUAUCAUAUUUGUGGGACGUGUGUUUAGUCCUUAGAUUUUGUCUGUCUUGUCUCCUGUUUUCAAUCACAGCAGGUGCUCAGUCCACUGAUACAACGAAAAAGCUCAUGUCUGUCUGUCUCCUGCUUUCAAUCACAGCAGCAUGCUUCGGCGUGCUGCUUAACAUGUAAUUUAGUGUUUUCAUUUGAACAAUGUAAUUACAAUUUGUUAGUGCUUAUACAUUUAGUUGUGUGUGUAUCUGAAAUGUGUAUGCUUCCAGGAAUCUACUUGCAAAUCAUUUGUGACAAAUUUACCCUUCUAACAUAUUUAUUUUUAAGUAAAUAUAUUAUUUUAUUUAAAUUAAUUAAAAAAUAAAUUAAAACAUAAAUAUAUGGUUAUAUAUAAUCUUACAGAAAAUCUUAUAUGAUUCAAAUAUAUAAUAAAUAAAUAUAUAAUAUAAUAUAAUAGCACAAAUCAAUAUAAAAUAAUUUUUAAAAAUAAAUAAAUAAAAUUAUAUUUUAUAUAAGACAGUAAAUCAUAUUGAUUUCUCACUAUAGUGGCAAUCUUGUGAUCUUAUUGAGGCAUUUUCUACUUGUCCGAAUCUUAUUACAAAAGAAUGUAGAUAAUCAAGUAAGUAAAUAAAAAAGAUUACGUAAAAUAAAAUGCACAUGAGGAAUUUGCUUAUUGAAGCCUUGGAAAGAGAAACAUAAGAAAAGAACUUACUUUCGAUUACCAAUUUGACAAUAGUAGACUUUUUCAUUAAUAGUUAUUCGAGUGACAUAUAGAAAGAAGUAUGAUAAUGAAUGAAGCGAAUCGGAUAAAAGAUAGUUAACUCGAACCUCAAUAACUUCAUUCAACAUACCGGAUAAAAGAUAGUUAACUCUUUCGUCUAACAUAUUGAAAUGCCAUGUAUAUAGCUCACAACAAUUUUCCAUCCAUUCGAUUGCUCGGAAACUCCGCGAAAAAUAUGGGAAGGCCAAAUCUCCCACACACAAAAAAAAAAAAAAGCUAAUUAGGGACAAAUAACAUCUUUCAAUUAUGAACGAAAAAAUAAUUAUAAGUAAUUUAGUAUAUAUAGUAGAAGAUGAUCAUUCUAAUUCGUACUUUCUUUAUAGAAUCACCAUUACAAUUUUAUUUCAGUUAAAAACCCACCCAAGCAUCCACUAUCAAGUAGCAUCCUCACUGUGAUCACAGCAACAAUUAGUAAAAAGCACAGAAAAGUCUAUUUAGGAUACGUAUCUAAUAAAAUAUCAGUUCCAUAAAAUAAUAUCAUAAUGUAGAGGGAUGCUCGGUUACUUGUCCCGAUAUGAUUCGAUUGCUAUACCAUAGAGAAAACGAUGGUUAAUAUCAGGAAUUAGACAAUGUUAGUCCCUUUGAUUCUCUGAUCUUGAUGAUGAUACAAAUCAAAGGAAAAAAAACAAAUGAAUAUGACAGUCAACAUCCUAAUAGCAUUGAACACCCUGGUUUUUCUAUUGUAGCCUCCGAUCCGUAGUACUGUGUGCUUCCGAUUAAAGGCUACAUUUUUCUCAUAGAUGAAAAAACAAGGGUUUCAAUUUGUGGAUGACUCAAGUUUGUAUGUUUAUAUCAGUAGCCACCACCGACCAUCUUGGUUCUACUACUCGGUUGUCACAAAGCCUUCCACUUACAAGUAUUGCGAAAAAGAAAAUUAAAGAUGACCAUGGGAGAUUGGAGACAAGGUAUGUUGAAUGAUGAGACAAGGUAUUGUCAAGGGCAGAACUAACGAGGUUUAGGCCAAGAGGAGACACAGUUUGGCUUAAAGAUGAUCAUGGGAGAUUGGAGAUAAGCUACAUCCCAAGGUAGAGACUAAAUAUGACACUGGUUCAUUGAACCAAGGGUGGGAUGAUACGAAGGACCAAUAGAUUCAUUAUACUAAACCAAUUCAAUGAAUUUUACAUAUUAAAUAUUUUAAAAAUAAGGGAUAUAUGAUAACAGAGAGUGGACCAAUUGAUUCAUUAUACUAAACCGAUUCAAUGAAUUUUAUAUAUUAAAUAUUUUAAAAAUAAGAGAUAUCUGAUAACAUAAAGAUUUUCUCAACUGCAUAGUAUAUGAAAGAUUUUCUCAACUACAUAUAAUUGAGAUGUGCUUUCUCUUUAUCUUUAUAAUUUCACUCUUCAUUCUAUCACUUUAUUAAUAUCCUUGAUAAAUUUUGAAUAGAGUGAUGUAUCCGAUAACAUACGAUUACGUAGGAUUUUUCUUGAUAAUUUUAUAAUAAGUGCCUCAUGAAAGAUACAUGUGGCUUGCUACUGAUUUGUCCCAAUUGGCUUUGAGGAUUUAUAGUUGUAUGAUUCAAAUCUACUAAUAUUUUUGUAUUAGGAGGCCUCUUCAAGUGUAUAGUUUUUUAAGUUUCCUUCUCUUUAGCCCAAGGUCUUUUUUUACUUUGAUUUAAUAAUUCACUCUAUGAGGUCCUCUUCAAGUAUGUAGUCAUCGAAGACCCUUUUCGUCAUGAUCUUUCUUUUCCUCAUGCAGCUUUCUUCAUCGUUAUAGGCGAAUCUUCUGCCUUUAUGAUUUAUUCGUAUAGUUCCCUUAGCUAUAGAUACGAUCCAUACACUAUUAGGAAUCAAAUUCUCUUCUAACGUGUCAUCGUCGAGGUCCUUUCUCUCAUGUCCAUGACCUUUCUCAUUCUGACUUUAAUUAUAGAUAAUAAUAUUAUUCUUAUGCAUCCCUUGCAUUAAUAUCCAACCUUAGGUUAGUCAUGGCUAAUCAACAUUAACUAGUAUGGAUAAAAAAAAACAUAAAUAUAUAAAAUAUCUCAAAUGUUCUUAUAGUCAUAAUUAAUAUAAUCUAGAGUUUAAAUUAAUCUGUCCAAAUCUGAUUGAUGAAAGAGAAAACUACUUUGCCUAGUUGAUCAAGUAAUCCAAAGAUCAAUUUUCACAAACCACAAGAUGAGUUCGUUUUGCCCGUCUGUCAAAGAUUAAUUUCAAGAACAAAUAAUAUGUCAUACUAUGUUAUGUGCAAGAAAGAUUCUAUUCCUUUUUGAAUGAAAUUUAGAUUAUACAGUCAUAAUAUAUGUUCAAUAGGAUCAGGGAAUUGACAUCAUUAUUAUCACGACUCGAGUUUGAUGAGCUAACUAGCCAAUAACUCCAUUUGAUCUAAACUAUUGAUCAAAAUGCUUAAAUUAGAAUUAACAUAACAUACUCAUCAGAUCCUUAUAAGCUAAACUUAAUCUUUGUUUGCUUCCGACUAAUUAGAAUAUUAGGUGCUACCACUGCUUCAGUAGAGGUCAAACUCCCAUGUAGACACCAUAUACGAUGUUAGCAAUGUCGCAGGGUGAUAACCACAUGACUCCCAUUAGAGGUCAAAGUCCAUUUUGUAGUUAAAUCAUCUUAUUCUACUGCUUCAGGUGGGAAUGAGGCCGCAUCUAGCAAGGGUGCUUCAGAUAGAUUCAUAACAUUUAAAGUCGCUGUAGAUCCCCUCCUUGCUAAUAACAUAAUUUGUUGAGCCUGAAAAGAAAAUUAAUCAACAAAAUUGCUUCACACCCAUGGUAUUCAUUCUCCAUCUUGCAUGAUCACCAUGAAAUAUGAAAGAAUCACAUUUACGAACUCCUUGAAGAAAAUAGUUGGCUGAGCAGUCAUAUUGGUGGUGGUGUCGGGCAUAUUGCUGGAGAAACAAAUACAUCAUGCCAAAUCGUCAACAAGAUGGAAUUGAUAAUGUCUGAAGCAUAGAGUUGAAGGCUUUGUUCUGAAACUUAUCACAAAAUAUUUUACCUUGGAGCAAUGGCUCCACCAAGCACAGGGCCACCAACGGGGGCACGGCGCUAACUGUGGUUCCACCUCCAAAAGGCUGUUGCUUGAACAAAGGACUGCUCAUGUUGACAGGGAUAGAGUGAUUCAACUUGUGCGGUGAAGUGCCAAGGAUCAACAAGACCAGUGUUCUGAGGCUGACAUGCAUGGAAUGUAUAUUGGUUGACGUUGUGCCAUAUGUCAAAACCAAAGCAUUUCUACAAUAUCAAGACGCAAGAACAUGCCAGUUUGGUGAGCAAAAUGACCAGUGUGAUGAUUGGUGUUGUUUAAAAUCAGUUGGAAAAUCGAUGCACACCUAUCUGAUUGGCCUCGAAGGCAUCAAUGGCUGAUAUAGGUUGGAAUCUAGAAGAUUGAGUGUUCAUCAAAGACAGUUUCUUGGCUUCUCCUCUUGAAAUAUGAAUGGCUGCAUGGUAGGCACCUUGCUCAAGAAAGACCACUGCACUGUUGAACCUCCUUAAAGAGCAGAGCUGAGGGUUAGAAGCAAAUGCAUAAGGCAGAUUCGGAACUAGAUCAGAAGCAUCUACCAUCAAUUUGACUAUUGAUUCUUCUCAAAAGCUAUAUAAAUCGAUUGGCCAGUGACAUAUACCACAGUAAAAACCACCUCAAAUUUACAAUACGAUGGGUCUGAUGGACUCAAAUUCCAAAUGCCCUGUGAUGAAACGCCUACUCUCAAAUAACUAUCGAGCAAAAGUAAUUAUAGCAGUAAGAAGUUAAAGGCAAGCAUUUUUCACAGAUAGCAUCCAAAUCUUCACAAAUUUGAGCCUCUGGCGUCCAACAUUUUACUGAAAAUUUUAGCUGUUAUAGCACCAAAAAUAUAAAAAUCUUAUCUUUUUUUAAAGAAACGAGCUAAACCCAUCAAUAGAAAUAGAGCAAGUUACUGGCUGAGCAAAGACUAAAGAGGCCUAGUGAGUGCUGAAGAGGAUGAGGUAGAAGCACAAGGCUAUUGAAGCCUGGUUCCCUGGUGUCCUUGGCACUACUGAGGAUGAGGCAAAGGUCCUUGGCUGCUACCGAGGCUUGAUUUCUUGAGUUAUCCUUAGCACUGUAGAGGAUAAUGUGGAGGUGUUAGGCUGCUGAAGCCUGGUUUCCUGGGCCGUCCCUAGCACUAUCAAAGAUGAGAUGGAGGCAUUGGGCUAUUGAGGUCUAGUUCAUUGGGUUAUCCUAGACACUGCGAAGGACAAGGCGAAGGCGCUAUGCUAUUAAAUCCUAGUUUUCUUGGUUGUCCUUGGUGCUUCCGAGGACAAGGUAGAGGCGCUAGGCUACCGAGGCUUGGUUCCUUGGGCUAUCCUUAGCACUGCCGAGGACGAGAUAGAGGUGUUGGGCUACUUAAGCCUAGUUUCCUAGGUUGUCCUUAGUGCUGCCGAGGACAAGACAGAAGCAAUAGGCUAUUGAGGCCUAGUUCCUUAGGCGAUCCUUGGUGCUAUCGAGGACGAGGCUAAGGCGUUAGGCUACUAAGGCCUGGUUCCUUGGGCUAUCUUUAGCGCUGUUGAGGAUAAGGCGAAGGCGUUGGGCUGCUGAAGCCAGGUUUGCUGGGUUGUCCUUGGCGCAAUCGAGGACGAGGUGGAGGCGCUAGACUAUUAAGGCUUAGUUCCUUAUGUUGUUCUUGGCGUUGCCAAGGAUGAGGUGGAGGCAUAGGGCUACUAAAACCUGGGUCCCUAGGUUGUCCCCAAGGUUGCUGAGGAUGAGGCGAAGGCAUCAUUCUGUUGAAAUUGGAUACGUUCCUUCUCUUCCCGAGAGGACUUAGGAUCAGAGGUAUUUUCUUAUAUUUAUAGAGGCCUCAUAUCAACUUACCCUGAUGAAUCAUAUUAUAUUGGGUACUAGAUUCCCAUCCAACUACCCAUGCCUCUUAGAUUAGUGAGUCUCUACCAAAUAAUUUUUUAUUUGCUCUUAUUUGAUCUCAUCUAUAUGAUCUAAUAAUUCAGGGGCUUAUUGGAUAUCCAAUAAGAUAGGUGCUCCAGCGGAUAUCUCAUAUCUGAAUCUCUACUCAUCGCAACACCUAUCAUAUGUGUGUAACCCUCUAAGCCUAAUAUCGAGCUGGCCAUGAGUCAUAUAUGUUAGAACUCCUUCUAGCUCGGUAGAUUAUUAUCUUUAUGAUAAUUCAUUUGAUUCAUCGACUACGGAUGUACUAGGCCACUACGUCGCAGUCCCUAGACGAUAUAGGGGAAUCUAAUCCUUUGGACAUAUUUAUCCUCAGUUAUCGUAUACCUAUAGUCUCUCAUCAAUCUAAUAUCCCAGAGAUUGUAUACCGGGCAUAAUACUAUUAGACCCAUAUGGUUUCUCCUUAAGUCUCGUUCUAAUCGGAUUCUCCUAGAGAAUUCUUUAUCUCUUAAUCUCCCUAGUGUCCCCACAUGAGCAACUAUGAGACCUGUUACCUCCAUCGUAUGGAUAGGUAUAUAAUAUACUAGUCUAUCUGAUUAUCUUGAUGUCCCUCUUGAGUACUUAUGAUCGAGAUUAUUUAUGAUCUGUGUUUAAAGGCGAAUCGAUCUCAUUAUCAUAAUCUUAUCAUGAUUUGAUUCUCAUUGCACGGAUCCAUGGACAUCACAAUAUAUAUAUUUUUAUGCAACAAGUAAUAUAAAGUGAUAAAAUAUCAAAUAAUAUAAUAAGUAAAAAGAGUGUGUGUCAUACCACACGUGACAUCACUCACAUAAUUGGCUUGUAAGGCACCUAUGACUAGCAGUUCGACCAUCCUUCUAAUGCCAAAAUGAUAGUUCAUCGAUACUAUCGAUUGGUUCAUUACCGAAGGUGUAUAUUCAUUCUUGUGUUCUCCUUCAUGUUGAAGUGACAAACCAUUGUAGGAGGUCCACAAGGGAGGUGGUUUGUUGGGGUCGAUCUAGCUUUGGAGCGGUGAGACUGGGUAGAGGAACCGGGAUCUAUUCGGUUGUGAGGUCCUCUCUUUAGACGGAUAGAUUGUCCUCAGGUUGAAGGGUUGUCUCGUGUCUACGAGGCUACAUCCUGGUAGCGGAGUCGUUUUAUGAUCGUCAAUGAUCCUGCAUAAUAGGUCUAUGUCGGGGGCUUCCCAGCUGAAUCCCUUUGAUACUUAAGUCAGCGAAAGGUGAAGGGGGAGGAAGACAAUAGUAUCAGUUAUGUAAAUAAGAGAGUAGAGAGACUAUUGUUUACUUCACCCCUCUUGGCGCUUAACCUAGGGCAUAAUUUUUAUACUUCGGCACUGAGCGAUUCAAACAUGCAUUACCUUAUAUAGCAAAGGCAUUAAGAAUGGUAACUUAUUGUCAAUCAUUAAUGUAAAUAUAUGAUUGUUUGGGACACCAAAUGAUAUGGACAUAUAAGUUAGCUUCGGUCUCCUACCCUGCAUAGGUAUUAAGAGAGAGCCUCUAUGACAAAGGUAUUAAGAGAGAGAGAGAGAUAGAAAGCUAGCGAGGCUAGGUCUUGAUCACUGGUUUUUAUGUUUUUAUGUCUUUAUUAUCUUUUAAUGCAUGUGGCUAAGGGAACUGAAGUGUCCAAUAUUAUUCGUAUGAAACUGCAUGUGAUAUUUAAGGGGAUAGGUUGGACUUUUUCACCUAGUAUAAAAUUCGAGUAAUUUAAAUUGGAUUAUUUUAUAAUCGAAAUCGAAAUGAGUUCGUAAAUAAAAUAAACAUCACCCACAACACGACACGUGCAACACUAACAUUGCCAAGAACAAGUGGCCACGUGACCAACACAGUACACAUGCCUACCCCAUCUUUCACUUGAUGGAGUUAAAUUACGUUUAACUCCUUUGUCUUAUUCAAAUCGGCUUUGCUAAUUUAUCAGAAAAACUACUCCCGACACGUUCGCAACACGUAGACGGUUUAAAGCGACAGAGACGGGUGUGCCGUAUCCAGCAGGAUUUACUAAACAAAGCUAUCUGGCAACCGGCAGAAUCGUGGACCCCACGAGUUAUUCCGUGGGUGCAUAAUCAUAAUAGCUAACUUUUUAGCUCUUGGUUUCUGCAAGACAGCCGAUCCGCCAUCACCCGUAACCGUCAUACACGCGAUCCGGAUCGGUGAGUGAUAUCUGGGCACCGAGUCAGCGGACGCGCUCCGUGGGCGCCACCGCGUCAAAUAAAACAAAAAAGUUCUACGUAUCUCUCGAUUUUAAAAUGAAUUAAGUUACCCUAUAAAAAUAGAAAAAGAAAUAUUUUUGCUCCAUAAAAAAAUAAGAGCCGAAGAUUGAAUUGACAGCCAUCAAAUUAAAGAAACCAGAAAAUCCAUAAGCCAUGUACUUUGAUCUAUAUCAAUGUUAUUUAAAUUCUAAUUUUGUUAUAGUCCAAAUAAUGAAUUUUAAUUAUAAUGAUUUUUUUUAUUUUUUUGGGGUAUAUAUAUAUAUAUAUAUAUAUAUAUAUAUAUAUAUAUAUAUAUACAGAGAGAGAGAGAGAGAGAGAGAGAGAGAGAGGGGGUGUACGAUUGUGGCAUGCAUCGGUUCGCGAAUUCGAUGGAUCCACUAAAUCUGGCCCCGCGACUUCAGGAAUGAAUCGACAGCAGCGGCCUUUUCUCCACCCAUCUUCCAAGCGAGUAUCUAUUGGAUGAAAACGCCUCCGUUCCCCAUUUAAUUCGGCCCCCUCUCCAAUUCUCGACGGAAUUGGAGCUUUCAUCAUCAUCGUCUGCGAUGGCGUCU